GCCAUAUGCUCUUGUACUUGUCGUUUGUUAGAAUUUGCAUUUGAUCACCAACGUUAACAAUAAAAGCGCCCGGAGCGGCAUUUACCAAGACCCACUGAUCAUUGUGCUUGACUUCAAGGCCACACAUAUCAUUCUGAAUCAGGAGCGUCACCAGUCCAUGAUCUGUAUGAGGAGGAAUACCGAUUGCCAGGUCGGGCUGUGGGCAAGCCGGGUAGUAGUUCGCUGCAAGAAUUUGGCAGCCCCGAUCCCAGUUCAUGGCCUUGGUAAUGUAAUCGGCCUCCAGUCCCAAACUCUCCGAUAUUCCAUUCAAUAUUUCGGUUGCCACUGCACGGGUUCUUUUGCUGAACUCCAAUGAAACUUCACUGUACCCAGCAGGUUUGUAGAGUGAGUUGAAUUUAGGGUGUGCGAUGACCUUGAGAUAAUCCCUCCAGAGACGAACUUUGUCAAUUGCGACGUUGAAGCUGGUGCCGCACUUGAUUGGAUCCAACAGGUUCUUUGUAUGGAACUCCUUCUUCUCCUCUUCCGGCAGUUCAAAAAAUCGUCGGCACGCGUCGAUCAUUUCUUUCAUUAGGCUCUCUGGUACACCAUGGUUGAUCACCUAAAAGGCAUCAAGCACAUGAAAAUAUUAAUUCAUGUUUCAUUUUUAAGUUAAAAUUUGAAAACUUAUAACUAUUUCAAUUUUCAAUUUAUAUAUAUAUAUAUUUUAAAUAAAAAUUUGAAACGAAAUAGUUAUCAAACUAAUAAAAUAUUAGUUAAUUUUAUACAUGUUCAAGCAGACAUAAUUGAUAACAAGUGUGAAUAUACCUGAAAGAAGCCCCAUUCUUGGCAAGCUUUUCCUAGCUUCUGGAUCAUUUGUGCCCGUUCAUCUGGGGAGGCAGAGGUGAGAAGAGCAAAAUCAAUGAUGGGGAUUGAGUGUUCAGGGUCGUUUGCAUCUCCCUUAUCGUUGGGAUCCAUGAUGUAGGCGUACUCGGAAGGUACAGAAGUGAGAGCAUCUGAGUCGGCUAAGGUUUUGAUGCUUGCUACCUUGGGUUCAGAUGCAUCCACUGAAGUCACGGUAGGUGCCAUUGGUGGAGGGAGCGAGAAAGAAGCUGAGAAUUCUGGUCUUUGAUUUGUAUAUCCUGAAGGAAGGACGUGAGGGAGAGGAAAGUUGAUUGUUUGAGAGUUGUGGAGAAAUAUGAAAAAAGGAGUUGCUAUUUUAUAGAGCAAGAUAACUUAUGACUCUACCCCCACAAGCUGGUGGUUUUUGAAUAAGUUCGGCCAAAGCUGACCUAGAUUUCAAAUCUGUUGUCCUGCAACAAUAAAAUAUAUAUUAAUUAGUUGUUAACCUACAUGUAUAUGCAAUAGAUUAAUUCUUGGAAAACCAUAUUAUGUAAAUCAUAUUUAAAUUAUUUCUCUAAUAGAGAUGAGACAUACUUGUAUGAUUCGAUAGAUGGUUUAUUAUCGUCUACAUAGGAAAAUGUCAAAGGAACAUUUAAAUCAUGUGCUAUGUUACUAAUAGAAAUAAGUUCGUUAAUCAAGCACUUAAGUAACAAAAUAAUCAUUGACAAUCACGUCAUGUUUAUAUAUAUGGUCUCACUAGCAUUACUCGAUCUACAAAAUAUGAUUUUUUAGCAUUACCCUCUCUAAAAGAAGUAGAGUCCACCAUACAUGUAGGUCGCACUAUUUCAAAGAUUUCGAAGUGGUCUCCAAAAUAUUAGUGUAAGCACAAAAAUUCCUGCCACAAAUGAGAUAUUUACAUGCCUACAAUUAGCUCCCCAACAUUUUUCUAUGCAAUAAUCAUACUACUACUAGAUAUAGGAAAACCAAAAUUUGAGGGGAUUGCCUAUGAAUAUGUUAUAUAAUACAUUCAUUAUCUAAUAGUAUGAUAUGCAACUAAAAAGACAUGGUAUCAUAUUUAACCGUUAAAUGGUGAAAAUACUAAAUAAAUAUACAUGCUGUAAGUAAACUAAUGAAAUAGUGAAAAAAAAUGCUUUACUUUGUUUUAUAUUCCCAAAUGGAGGAGAGAUGGGAAGAGUAUAUGCAUGAAUGAAUAGUUGAUGAGAAAAUUAGAAAAAUGUAGGAAUGCGUUUGGCAUGGGGUUUAAAGAAAAUCCAAAGUCGCGUCCAGUUUGAGACUUUGACUACGGCAGACAAAGCCACUGAAGCAAGCACAACAAGCCGCCCACCACAGCCAAGUAAAAGAAUAUGACACGAAAUAUGGCACAAAAAAAUCAAAUACAAUCAUGCAUCGGCAUCUGUACGCAUCUACAAUUCCAAAUCUAAAUUUACCCCUUGGCCUUGGGAGUUUCUGCCGUUUGGAUGCCCACCGGUAGGUAACAGAUUCUUCAUGUCCCAAGCCUAAUAUUGGAAUCCCGUUUUAUGAAACCUCGUUAAUUGGGUGCAAUUAUUGACACACCAAAAAUUGAGAAUUUUAACGAAACGCUUCCGGUAUUGUUUAUUUUAACGAAAAAUCAUAUUUUUACACUAAAAAGUUAAUCCUGGUACUAUUCACUUUACCCUUUAUUUUGUCCUUAUCGUUAAAACUCAAAGUUUUCAAAUAAUUUUCAUUAGUUUUCCUUUAAAAAAUUUAUUGUGCUCUUUUUAUAAGUGUUUGUUUUACAAAUAAUAUUUUACAGUAUCCAUAUUAAAAGAAAAAGUUUGAACCUUGAACGAAAUUAGUUGAGGGGGAAGACCUAACUAUUAAGACAAUUCACUAUUUGCAAGUAUUUUUUUUUUCUAAAUAAGACAAUAAUUUUUUCUAAGAUGCCAAUAACAACGCCCAAUCAACUUUGAUGAUUCAAUUAGUCAACCAUUAAUUCAUGUUAGUUGGCUUGGUUUUCGAGAAGGUGACGUAUAUCCAAAUUCCAACUAUAUUAUACUUCUCCAUUUUGUUUUUAUUUUGAGUAAUGUUAAGGAGGUUACACGUUUAUAUUAUAUUUAGUAUAUCAUCUCAUAUAACAAGUGAUGCAUACAAUUAAUAUCCAAUGAGAUAAUUUUAUAUUGACUUGACGUGUACACAUCACUUGUCAUGGCACGAGAGAUUUUACAUAUUUUACUUUCUCGAACAUUAAACUUAGAACGAGAAUGAUGCAAUCCAUAUUUCUAUGAAACCUCUCUUUUGUUUGGUGAACCACAUAUAUGGCUAAAACCUUUUGAAUGUGAAUAUGCUUGAAAUUUCAUUUCUCAGAAUAAAACAAUACCUUAAAAUAAUAUUCUGGAGAGUAGGCUUUCAUAGUUUGAAAAACACAUGCGAAAAUACUACAAAUUAGUUCAAAAUGCACGCAAGACACUUUUGUAUAAAUUAAAUGUAACCCUAAGUUUAUAUUUCGUUCAAAGGACCUAUCCCUUCCAGAAUGUAAACCCCACACGAGUCAAAGUGACAUCAUUUGCACCCAUUUCAUCCUACCUUUUAACUAGAACUCUUGCUUUAAGUCUCUAUGGGAAUUGACUGGAGUAGGUUCUCUGGCGAAACAGACAAAAUGACCUUGUCAAAAUCUACCGUAGAAAAGCAGAGUAGAAUUUUCUCUACUUCUAGUCUUCUAUUCUCUUCCAUUUCCCUUACCCCCACUCAUACUUUCAUUUUUUUCUUUAUACCUCUAUAAAAAAUAUUCUGAGCUGCUGACGUGAUUGAAUCUCAACCUUUCAAAUACGAGAGGAGAGAAGGGGAAAUAAUCCUAGAAAAAGUGACUCCACCGGUGCUCCAAUCAUGUGAGUUGACUUGGCGCCAAUUCAAAAAAUCAUCUCCAUUGGUAGAAAAAUAUUAAGGCAAUUGGAACAAGUGUAGCAACCCCACCUGAGCUUGCACUUGCAAGCAAUUAGAGCAACUCCAGCGUUGCAAAGGCCCUUAGGGCAACUCACUAUUAAAUAACCUCCAGUAAAUAAUAACUUUCAUUAAUGAACAAUAACUAUCUUUUGCAUCUCCAAUCCUAAACUAAAUAGUCAUGGCAAUAGGCAAUAAAAUAUUAGUAUUUUUUAUUUUAUAAAAUAAUACAAAAUAAUUUUAUUUGUAAUUUCGAAUAAGAUUUUUAAUUGUUUUCGUUGCGCUACGUGUCAUUAUCCGAGAAGACAAUUUUUGGUGAUAGAUUUCGAUAAGAUAUCUAUUCAAUGUCGUCGUGCCACGUGUUGUUAUCUUUUCAGAAUCGUUGAGGAUAUAUUUUCAAUAAGAUUUUUAACCAAUCACGUCGCGCCACGUGUCACAAUUUGUUUACAAUCUUUGAGGAUAGACUUCAAUCAGAUUUUUAACGAAUGAUGGCAUGCCACGUGACAUUAUCUACAACCUAAUAUGAAAUUGUGGUGUAAGAUAGAAGAUAAUGAGUAGGUAUUUAUAGAAAAGUAAAAUAAUUUUUUUUUCGGAUUUUUCAUUAAUUUUAACAUUUUUAUUAACUUAAUUAAUCUCUGCAGUUGGACUAAAAAAAAUUUGAAAUCCAACCUUCCAGAUUGUGCCAUGUGGCACAACAGUAACAUUUCAAAAUUUAUUAAUGUGAAUUCUUUUUUUAUUUAUUUUUAAAGGCGAAUAAUGUGGAUCGUUGAUCUCAAAUCCAACGGCUGAUACUGUGGAAGGUUUCAAAUUUUUUUUACCAUUGGAAAUCCAACGGUGUAGAUAAAGUAAUCGUUGAAAUCCAACAGACAAGAAAAAGCCACGUGGCCACCAACAGGUAACAUUUCUGCCGUCUACGCCGUGGGCCCCAGUGCUUGAUGCAAAAAUAAUUAAAUAAUGGCUGACGCCACCCUGACGUCAGCGUUGCAUCACAUGACCCUCAAGCUCUCGGGCCACCAAUUCGCAUUGGGCCUUUCACUCAGGCCCCCCUCCCCAAUCGCACGCAUGGGCUGGAGGUUGUUGCUGGGGCUAUUAGGUCUUCAAAGUUGUCGGUCCAUCGGGCUUCAGCUCCUGCUGGAGUUGCUCUUAGAGCAAGGGCAGCAGCCCGUUGGGCUGUCCUACUUGUUCAAGCAUGGGCUUGGGCCUGUAGGCAACUGAAACUAACGUCUGUGCAGGUCCACCACGUGCAAUCCACUAAGGCAAAAACCUCGCACUCACCCGUUAGAUUUUUAAUGGUCUUCUCAUCGACCGUUGGAUUUUCAACAAUAAAAAAACUUGAAAAUUAUAGUUUGUGCCACGUCGCACAAUUUGGUGCAUCUAAUUUUUUUUUUUUGGAAAUCAACGACUAGGAUUAAUCCAAAGGUAAAAAUUCCACAAAAUGUCAAAAAAAAAAAAAAUACAAAAUUUUGUUUAGUAACACAUUAACACUUAAACAAACUCCAAAGUUCAACCAUCUUCUUUAUUCACCUUUUACCUUUAAUUAAUUAUGCUUGUUUGUACUACUAUGUUUUGCUUGGUUUUCGAGAUGCCAAAAUUCCAACUGUACUAUGAUUCUCCAAUUUGUAUUCAUUUUGAGUAAUGCUGAGGAGAUUACACAUUUUUACUACAUUUAAUGUAUUAUCUCAUAUGACAAAUAAUGCAUACAAACAAAAAUAAUGCAGUCCAUAUCUCUAUUAGGGCUGGGUUAGGUUUGAAACGGUUCGGUUUUUAGUCAAAAUCGAAACCGAACCGAAAUUUCGGUUCAGUUCGGUUCGGUUCAAAUUUUUUCGGUUCGGUUUUUUUCGAUUUUGAUUUUUUUCGGUUCGGUUUCAGUCCGGUUCGGUUUUUUCCAUGAUAUUUUUUUUUUAAUUUGGAACAAAUCUGCAACGAUUAAUUGCGAGCACUGAAGAUGCAGAAACUUAUUGGGUAUUGGUGCAAAUGAAUAUGAACUGGAACAAAUCUGCAAAUCUGCACUGGAAGAAAUCUGCAAAUGAAUACGAACUGGAACAAAUCUGCAAAUGAAUACGAAAAUUACAAUAUAAAAUCCCAAAUCCCAACAAAUCUGCAAAGAUUAUAACAUGCAAAAUCCCAACUAAUAAUUAAAAGAAAAACCCAUUUUAAUUCAGUAAAUCACAAUAUAAAAUCCCAACAAAUCUGCAAAUGAAUACGAAAAUUACAAUAUAAAAUCCCAACAAAUCUGCAAAGAUUAUAACAUGCAAAUCCCAACAAAUAAUGAAAAGAAAAACUCAUUUUAAUUCAGUAAAUCACAAUAUAAAAUUAUAAAUCAUAUUAGUUUUGAUUCGAAAAUUACCUAUGAGAGAUCGGAAAACCCGGAUUCGAAUCUUCUAAUUUAGAGGGGGUUUUGAUUCGAAAGGGGCGAGGGAAAAUCAUGGUUUGGAAGAAGGAAUCCGUGAGGAGGACAUGAGAAGACUGGAGAGAGAGUGAUUUGGAGGAAGAGAGGAAGGAGAGAGAGAGAGAGAGAGAGAGAGAGAGAGAGAGAGAGGCUGAGGAAGCAAAGGCAGAGAGAGGAAGCAGCGGAGGGGAGUGUUUGAAAUCUGAAAUGGGAAGUGAGACAAAGUGUGAGACGGCUAGGGUUUGUAAAGUUAAGAAAUUUUAUAAAGCAUUAAAUACAAGAAACCUAUAAAUAUUGUACUGGUACAAUUAUAACAACUCAAAGCCUACAGUCAAGUUGGCUUGCAGCAACUAAUCCUAAGCUGUAGGGAAGGGGUUCAAACCCCGGCGCCAACAUGUUUUUUUAGAAUUUAUAUAUGAUUUUUUUUUCGGUUCGGUUCGGUUUCCGAACCUCAAAAACCGAAACCGAACCAACCAGAUUCGGUUCGGUUCGGUUUGGCAGUUUCGGUUCGGUUUUUUCGACUUCGGUUCGGUUUGGUUUUCGGUUUUUUGAACCCACCCCUAAUCUCUAUAAAACCUCUCUUUUGUUUGGUGAACCAUGUACCUAACACCUUUUGAACGGGAAUGCGUACGUACUAAUUGAAUUCUUGAAAUUUCAUUUCGCGCAAUAAACAAAUGUAAUCCCACUGACAUCAUUUGCACCCAUUUCUCUAUGUUGGAACGUCAUCAUACCCUUUAAUUUUAACUCCUCUUAGUCUGUGUGAGUUGACAAGGGAAAGGUCCUCAGGAUAAUAAGGCAAAAUGAUCGUAUCAAAAUCGGCUAUAGAAUCCUUUUGACAAAAAAAAAAAAUAAAAAAAAAUAAAAAAAAAAAUUAAAAAAUAAAAAAUAAAAAUAAAAAUCUGCUAUAGAAUCAAUCGGCACUGACCUUCUUGGGAAAACACAUCCGCUACAUGUUCACACAGCAUUCAGCCUCACGCACCAGCUGCUUGAGGACGCGAAGGAUAGGCCGUUGGAUUUUCCACGUUAAAAAAAUGAAAAAUUAUAAGUUGUGCUAAGUUGCAUAAUGUGGUGUAUUUAAAAAUUAACCGCCAUAAUUAAUUCAAAGCAAAAAAUUUAGAAGAAAAUGCAAAAAAUUCCUAAAAGAUACAAAACUCUGUUCUAGAACACACUUAAAAUUAAACACACUAAAACAAACUGAUAAAAGUUCAACCAUCUUCUUCAUUCACAUUUGAUCUUUAAUUAAUGGGUAAAUUACAUUUUACCACCCCAGAUUUAAGGUUUAUUACAACCUCAUACAACAUCUUCAAAAAAUUUCACUUUCAUAUCUCAUGUACUAUUUUAUUUCAAUAUAAUGCAUCUGAUACAUUUUUCAUCAAUUGGACCGUUAAGAGUUGAUGUGGCUGUCACAUUUAUGCCACGUGACUGCCACAUUUAUGCCAUGUGGCUGACCAAUUAAUAAAAAUAUUAAAAUAAUUAAUUAAAAAACAAUAGAAACCCCCAUUUGUCUUCCUCGAGCACCCUCUUCUCCCAUCCCUCGUCACCAUGGUCUAAAAUAUCCAUAAUAUCCCGAUAUUUCCAUCGAAAUUUCCGUGUUUUUGGACUACCGAUAUUUUUUUGGACUAUCGAUAUUUCCGAUAUCAUCGAUAUUUUAGACCUUGCUAAGUCACUCAUGUAUCUUACCAUGCAAUGUAUAAAGUGUAAAAUAUUGUACUAAUUCAUUAUAUAUAAAUGAUUAUGGUGUGUUUAAACUUCUUUCAUUAAUUACUACAUAUUUUCUACACUCACAAUGUUUGCCAGCUCGCUAUAUAAUCAACUUAAAUCAGUUAUAUCUAUCAUGCAAUGCAUUUCCUUCCAAUUUUUUUGUAAUAAACUAAUAGAUAAUUGACUAAAUAAACAUCCUGUAAAGUUUCAAUAAAAUUUCCAAGUUUUUCUUACAAUUUCCGUGGUUUUUAUUCAAUUUUUAUCGAUAUCGAUAAUAUCCCGAUAUUUCGAUCGAAAUUUCCGUGUUUUUGGAUUAUCGAUAUUUCCGAUAUUAUCGAUAUUUAAUACCUUGCUCGUCACCAACCCUGUCCCCUAAUUUUUUCCCCCAAACAAAGCCCAUCACCUCCUCCUCUCCUCCCGUUGCAACAUUUCCUCCGUUAGCCCGAGGAGGUAUCUCAUCACUAGACCCUGAAUCGCUUAAGACCAACCUAGACCUCUUCUUGUCCUUCGGUUCAAAAACCUUCCGAGCACUCGAAGAACCAACAACACCACUCAACCCCUUAGGUUUCUUCCUCACAAUUAAGCAACCUGAAGAAUUUUUCUUCACCAAAACCCCAGAAGGGCCAACAGAUCUCACACCUUCGUCCAUCUACAUCAACCGCUAGAAACCAAAAAACCCUAAUUUUUCAAAACCCGCCCCUAAUUUUUCAAAACCCGCAGUCCAAUUGAAAGGGCAAAGGAAUAUUUCACAAAAAUCUUACCUCGCAGGAGAGUCUGGAACUCUGCCUAUUGAAGAUAUCUGAUCGCUGUCGCAAUUCUCCAAAUCAGAGAGAAAGGGGAAGGUUCAGACGGAGAAAGAGAGGGAGAGACAUAGAGAGAAGGGCUGGGUUUGGAUUGUAAAUAUAUGCAAUUGCAGGGCAGAUCAGAGAAGGGGUGGCUCGGGUGGGUGAUGGGGGAUGGGAGAAGGAGGUGCUCGAGGAAGACGAAUGGGGGUUUCUGUUUUGUUUUUUGUUUUUUGUUUUUUUUUGUUUUUUAGUUUUCUUUAAUUAAUUAUUUAAAAUGACAUGACUGCCACAUUUGCGCCAUAUGGCUAAACAAUUAAUUAAAAAAAAUUAAUUUUUUUUAUUAAUUGUUUAGGCACGUGGCUCAAAUGUGGCAGUCAUGUCAGCUCUUAACGAAUUAAUGGAUGGAAAAUAUAACAGAUGUAUUAUAUUGAAAUAAAAUAGUACAUGAGGUAUGAUAGUGAAAUUUUUUGAAGAUAUUGUAUGAGGUUGCAAUAGACCUCAAACUUGAGGUGGUAAAGUGUAAUUUACCCUCAAUUAAUUAUGCUUGUGUUGUAAUGUUAUGCUUUACUUUGUGUUUAAUUAAAUUAUUUGAGUUAAAUAGGGAAUUUUAUUUUUAAAGAACAAACUUGUUAAGUACAUACUCACAAGACGUUGGCGGGCCCUACAUCUGUUAGAGAAAUGUAGGUCCUGGCAAACAGGUUGUGUUUACCGUGUUCGUGGUGUUUUCGUGUAACACCUGUUAUCUUAACGAGUCGGGUCGUGUCGUAUCACACCAAUAUCUUAACAUGUUCUUAACAGGUCGGGCUAUUUAACCAGCAGGUAAAAUGACCCGUUAAGAUUUUUUUUUCUUUUAAAUUUGACAUACCACAUUGCCACAUAAAAUAUUACUUCGAAAACUAAUUCGAAACGAAAAACCCCAAAUUGAAGAAAUGAAACCAAUCUAAUUCGAAAACUAAUUCACAGCAAAACCUUAUCUUUUGAAAGUGAUUCGAAAUAAUCAACAAUUACCUUGAUUAGGGCUCCAGAUUCGCUCAAUCCAGAGAGAGAAUAGAGACAAAAGUAGUAGAUCGACUGGUGGUGGGUUACUAGGUCGUAUGUGGUGAGGGUGGUGUUGUGGAGGGAGACUAGAGAGGAUGGUCGUGGACUCGUAGCUAGGUGGAGUUGAGGUUCGAGACUGAGAUUCGAGAGUUUAGUUUGAAAAAGAAAGAGUCUCUGCUUCGAUUCGAGCAUUCGAGAAUAAGAGAGGAGUCUGAUUUAAGGCUGAGAAAAACAUUGGACGGCUGAGAUUUAAUCUUAGCCGAUCCAAUGGUCAUCAAUUUUCUAAUUUUUUUAAAUAUAUAGGAAAACUAAUGAAAAUGGCUUGAAAAUUUUGAAUUUUAAUCAAAAGGACAAAAAUGUGUUGUAAGUGAAUAGUACUAUGAGUGACUUUUUAGAGUAAAAUUGUCAUUUUUCGUUAAAGUGAACAGUACCAGGAGUGUUUUGUUAAAACUCCCUAUAUAUAUAUAUAUUAACUUUCAAUUCAGUUUAGGAUUAAAUCCUUUUGUUGUUAAUCUUAAUAUUUCUUUCUAGUGGUAUGAAAAUUUUAAAUUAAUAUUUUUCCUAUUAUGUAACGGGUUACCCACGUGUGUACCGACCCGUUAUUUAACAGAUGCUUAUCAGGUUACCGGAUAAUGACUCGAUUUGUUAUUGUGUCAACCUGAAAACCUGUUGAUUUCGUGUCGUGUAAAAAAUUGCUAGGCCUCGAGAAAUGUUAUAAAUAGAUGGUAAAUAUAUCAUUAUUUUUUUUUUGUUUUAUUUUGUCUUGUUGCGUGUUACACUUGGGACCCACGUCCCACUUUGAUAUCCUAUUCCCCUCGGACUUGGCUUCUCUGCCCUCCCAAUUCCCAGACACUCUCAUCCCCUCCUAUUUGUGCUGUCAUGGUUAAACCAUGUCAACAUUUUAUAUUACUAUUGCUUUUUGUCUUAUUAUUUCUAUAAAAAAAAUCAAUAUAAAAUGUUGACGUGGCUUAACCGUGACCGUACAAAAUAGGAAGGGAUGAGAAUGUAUGGAAACUGGGAGGGGCAGAGAAGCCGGGUCCAUUCCCCUCUCAUUUUUGUCUCACUUCAGUCAUCCCCCUCUCUAGUUUUGACUUUUCUUUUUUGUCUCCUACUUUCUCUCAUAUUUUGUCAUUGAGUCUCUCUCCUUAGUCUCAGUCUCUCUUAACGAGUUCGAUAUGUGAUGAGAAGGUCCCACUGUUUUACACAUUAAUAUUACUGUGAUGAUAUGUGUGCAAGAAACAUUGGACAACAACUCUACAAGCUGCUCUCAUAGAGAAAUUAGGCUCUUACAUGAGCAUAUAUUAUUUGAUGGAGAAAUUAGGCUCCCGUCCUUAAUUAUUGAUCUUCUUUGAUUAAAACCUUGUUAUUUUUUACUUUUUGAUCAAGGUCCUUGAAGUUUGUACACAUCAGCAUUUUAUUAUCAGCAUAUUUCCAUGUCAGCUUUUUAUUUUUAUUUUUAUUUGAAAUAGUUAAUUAGUGCUUUUUUUUUUAUCUGAGGCUGCAUUUUUAUUCUACGACUAUUAUGCCUCAAAUGCCUCCUAUGCUUACCAAAUUGAAUAUGACGCAUCAAUUCCACCAAAUAAUCCCGCUCACUUGAUUUCUUCUCUUUUUGAUUUUCGUAACUGCAAAUUCCACAAUAAUCUCACUAAGUUUUUCAAAUCCAUCAUUAUUAUCUUUGAUAUGAUGCUUCGAAUUCAAGUUUGGCCAAGAUUUGAAUCGAAGUCAUACUUUAUCUGCGAGCAUUCGAGCGAGCACAAUUUUUUGCAGAGUAACUUGAAGAAUCAAUGACAAUUCCGAGCUAAAAUUCGAGGUUUUUUUUUCUUUUAUAUUUUUUGAAUUUGCACCCAUAGUUCAUUUAUACUGAUUUGUCCGCAAUGGUGGAUUCUUGGUGUUAUAAUUUUCGAACCCAUAUUUACAAGUAGUGUAGUAUUGAUUUCACAAUUGGUUUUGCAUAUGUAAAAUGAUUAUUUUUCAAUAUUUUUUUGGCAUAUAUUGGGGAACUUCAAUGAGUUCAGCAUGUAUCUUGUGGUUUUGCAGUGUUUUUCUGGUGCAUACCAAGUGUUUGUCGAAAUGUUUGAAAGAGAAUUUCGUAUACGAAAAUUUUGUAUGCAUAGAAACUAUUUAUAAAAAUUCUUGAAUAUGUCUUUUUCUCUAUUGUGGUGGGCAUGGGUACAAUUCAAUUUCAUUGGAUACAUUUUUUAACAAUGGAUCAUGUGUUGAUGUGGUGGAAACUACUGAUGUUGUGGAAGUAUAGGUAGGGGUACAACAGAAAUAUAGACCAGAUAAGUCAAGGGAGGACCGGCUAUGGCCGAGAGUUUUUGUCAUCUAUUUUUCUGUUUGACAUAUACCGUAUUUGAGAGGUGGGGGGGGGGGUGGGGAAUUGGCUGUACAAACAGCAAAUAAUAAUGUUCGGUGGAAACUACUGAUGUUGUAGAAGUAUAGGUAGGGGUACAACAGAAAAACAGAGCAGAUAAGUCAAGGGAGGACCAGCUAAGGCCGAGAGUUUUUGCUAUCUAUUUUUCUGUUUAACAUAUACCGUAUUUGAGGGGUGGGGGGCGAGGUGGGGAAUUGGCGGUACAAACAACAAAUAAUAAUGUCCGGUGGAAAUUACUGAUGUUGUAGAAGAAUAGGUAGGGGUACAACAAAAAAACAAAGCAGAUAAGUCAAGGGAGGACCAGCUAAGGCCAAGAGUUUUUGCCAUUAUUUUUCUGUUUGACAUAUACCGUAUUUGAGAGGGGGGUGUGAGGGGAAUUGGCGGUACAAAUAACAAAUAAUAAUUGGACAUGGUUUCAUUCAUCUUUCUAGUUUUCCUUUUGGAAAUUUAUUGCACUUUUCAUGUCAAGCUAGAAUGCUUUGGGUUAAUGUUGUGUCCACUUUCUUUUAUCUUUUCAGAUGGAAGGUGCUAUAGUGGGGAGAUGCACUCAUCAGGGUACCAUUAUAUCUAUCCCAAUUUUUUGCCACAUUACAUUCUCUGAAGUGUACAAUGAGGUUUGCUCAAGGCUCAAUUUGACUCAUGGUUUAUUCGACUUUACAUAUGCUUUACCUAGAUAUUCUACUUGUCUAUUGCAAUAUAAUAUGGACGUGCGGAUGUUGUAUAUGUCGGUUGUCAACGAGAAAUAUUAUUGUGUUGAUAUAGUUAUCAACCAAAAGUCGUGCCGUGACAAUGAUCAUGUCAGCCGAAAUACCAAUGUUUCGCAAACAUUUAUAAUUGAAGGAAAUAUUCACAGCGAUGGGAAUGAGUAUUUAGGAAAUAUGCAACACCAGGAGGCAAGGUAUCUAUGUCAAACUCUUGGAAGACCUACAUUAAUCAUGUAAAUCAAGGAUUUGAAGGUGGAGUGGAAGAAUUCAGAGACAAAAAGAGAAGAAUUGGCAUAAGAAGACUUGAAUAUGUUGGACAAAAAGAGAAGAAUCAGCAUAAGAAGACUUGAAUCCCUAAGAAAGCAAGAACUUGGAAAACCUCUCAUUCCAAGCUCUAGGUGCUUGUUUGAGUCCAUAUAAAGAACUUUCCAAUUUACACACAUACUUAGGAUGUACAGGAUCCAAAAAACCUUGUGGUUGAGCCAUAUAAACUUCUUCAUCAAGAAAACUGUCGCACUCCGGACCCGGAGUCGGUAAUAAAAACUCGAACCCGAAUCUGAAACGUGAGUUAAAAGCUAAAUAAAUAAAAGGAAAUUGACACGAGUUGGAAAAAUAAACUCCUCUUAUUAAAAUAACUCCAAAAUCCUUACAGGAUGUACAAAAGUAAUAAAUUAAAAUCCUUAAAACUCUUAUCCAACACAGCUUCAGCUCGUCUAUCACCUGUCUUGCUAAAUAACAUCUAUCUUGCCAAAUAACUCAUCUAUAAAAUAAUAGGUGAGGGGUGAGCAACAACCACCGUCACUCAGUAAGUAGAAUAUGUAGUAUGCAAGUCAAGCAAUGCCUUUUUAUACACUAAAAAAAAUAGAAUAAUAAUAUCAAAGCCUUAACCACGUAAUUUCAUAUCACAUCAUCCCUUUACAUGUUCAUUACAUCCUUCAUAAAUUGUAACUCACCACGUGACCCCUACUGGCCUUUCCGCCCUAAUGUCCCCGUGUGCAGUUUACAUUUAUCCCUCGGAUUAAUGCAACACUAAAGUUCUCAUGCUCCAUGAACAUAUCCAAAUAAUCCACAUAUCACCAUAUUAAUAAUUCCAAAGGGAUUUCAACAAAUCCAACAUGCUUGACUUAAAAUAGAUAGAGAUUUAUAAAUAUAUAAAACCCACAAUAGUUUGUGGUUUUUAUUUAUCAGAAAAUAAGAAUAUUUUGAAACACAUUACAUAAACCACUCACCUCGAUAAUCCAAGCUUUGGCAAGACAACCUAACUAACAAUCUCCACACAACUAGCAUACUAACCUAAACUCUCUUUCUUGUCUCUCUGUAACCCGAUCUCUCUCCACACACACACACAUAUACACGGACAUACAUGCAUGGCUUCCUAGCAGCCAACAUAUGUUUCCUAAAGUGGUGAAUAAAAGAAUGAAAUGCAACCUCUAUUUAUAGUAGAAAGGGUCGGCUCCCUACAAUGUAAAAUAUAUUAUACGUAGGGAUAGAAAUGUAACUGACGAAUGGCCAGUUGACAAGUGGGUUUCAAGGUGUCGUUGUGCAUGGGGUAGAUGACUUAGGAUUAACACAUGUGGCUUUGCCAACAAUGGUGGAAGCUGGUGGUGUCAAUGGAAUCCCUCAAAACCUCACACCUCAUUGUAAAUAUAACAGUUGUCAAGAAAAUGAAGUGCUACGUGUUGGACUAUGAAGGAAGCCAUCUAAUUGUUGGACACCUCAAAGCAAAAUGGGAUAGACUUCAAUUGCAAGACUACACCUUGCUAAUUGUAAGAAACUAUCGACUAGAAGUUGACAGCAAAAUGCAAAAACUAAUAUGUAAUAUAUAUAUAUAUAUAUAUAUAUAUAUAUAUAUAUAUAUAUAUAUGGAAAAGAAAUACACAAUAUCAUAGUAGUUUCAAAAUACCAUACGUUCCAUAUUUUAAAAAUACGGGUUCUCACAAAAACCAUGAAGAAAUGCAUUUUUCACAUCCAAUUGGUUGAGUUUCCAGCCAUUUGUAGUAGCCAAGGACAAAACCAAUCGUACAGUUGUAAGCUUAACCACUGGACUAAAGGUUUCAUAAUAGUCGAGCCCAGCUUCCUGUGAAAACCCCUUAGCAACUAACCUAGCUUUAUACCGAGCUACAGAACCAUCGGCAUUCUUUUUGAUUUUGUAAAUCCACUUGCAGCCUACAAGGUUCUUGUUUGGAGGAAGAGGAACCAGUUUCUAGGUCUGUUGUUGAACCAAAGCUUGCAUUUCUUCCUUCAUAGCAGCCUGCCAUUCCACAGACUUGGAAGCUGCGGAAAAAGUUUGAGGUUCUGUGCUAGAGAGAUCACCACCAACUUUAGCCGAAAAAACUUUCUUUUUCACAAUACCAGAUUUCGAUCUGGUUUGCAUAGGAUGACUAUUAAGUGUGGACACUAGUACGAACUGUAAUGUAUCAACUUGAGAUGUAGAAGUGUUAGGAUGUAAUUCUGUAUGACUGAGAGACUGUGCAUCAGGUCCAGAAUGAGACACUUGUGUAGUUGAUCUGGGAGGAAGAGAUGCUUGAGGAGAGACAAGGUCACCCGUGUUAUUUGUUGAUGCUGAACUGGACUGAGUAACAGUAGGUGUUGAAUCUCUAGAACCCAUUAAUUGUGACAUUUGAGGUAAAGGUAUAGGUAUAACCAGAGGAUGUUCAAAAGUGUUAAGAUGUACAACAGCACUAGGAGUAGGAGAUGAUGCAUGACUGGAAGAAGAAUGUAAUAAUUUUGUACUAGGAAAUGAUGCAUGACUGGAAGAAGAAUGUAAUAAUUUUGUACUAGGAAAACUAUGUUCAUCAAACAAAACAUGUCUUGACACAAGAAGUUUAUGAGUGCUGAGAGAAAAACAAAUAUAACCCUUGUACUGUGAAACACACCCAACAAAUAUACAUUCUGUAGUUUUUGGAUCUAACUUAUUGCUCCUAUAAGGUCUCAUGGAAGGAUAGCAAGCACACCCAAAGACUCUCAAGUGUUCAAGUGUAGGUGGAGACUUAAACAGACAUUCAAAAGGAGAUUUCAUGUGAAUAAUAGGUGUAGGCAUCCUAUUGAUUAGAUAGGCAGUAGUGGCACAAGCAUGAAACCAAAAAUAAGAAGGCAUGGAUGCUUUUUGAAAUAAAGUAAUAGCAGUUUCCAACAGAUGCCUAUUUUCCUCUCAGCCAACCCAUUUUGUUCUGGGGUAUAAGGACAAGACAUUUGAUGAACAAUACCCUUAUCCCUAAGAAAUGCUUUGAAAGCUAAACCCACAUAUUCACCCCCACCAUCACUUUGAAGUGUUUUAAUAGUUGUAUGAAACUGAAUUUUAACAUAGGCAACAAACUGAGCAAAAACAGAUAGAACUGCAGCUUUAUUGAUAAUAAGGAAAACCCAUGUAUAUCUCGUAAUUUCAUCCACAAAGGACACAUAAUACCUAAACCCUUCUGAAGAUAUAAUUGGAGCAGGACCCCAUACAUUAGAAUGUAUUUCUUCAAAAGGAAGAACAUAUUUUGAAGCAACACUAGGGAAAGGUAAUUUGGAAAACUUGCCUUGCAAGCAAGAGAUACAUGUGGUUGAAUCUUUAUUACAGGGAAUAGAAAUGGAGGAAUUCCUAGGUGCUGCAGUAGUAAUAGCAUUCGAAUGAUGCCCUAACCUACAAUGCCAAAAUUCAAAGGACACAUUUUGACCCAAAAAUGCAGCUGGAGUAGGCAUUUGUGAUUUGGAAGACUUGAGAAUUGGAAUUGGGUAGACUGCGUUGUUACUCAGUCCGUGAUAUAACACUUUCCUGGUGACCUUGUCCUGUAUACAAAUAGAGAACUCAUCAACAAUACAGCGACAUGUGUUGUCUUUACACAAUUGGUACAUAGAAAGCAAAUCUUGAGACAAUUUAGGAACAUGUAAUACAGAAUUAAGCUGAAAUGUAUGCAAUUUGGUGGGGAAAACAGUGUUGCUAAUAUGAGUAAUACUUAAACCUUCACCACCAGCACCAAUGAUUGUCUCAGUUGAUGGAUAAGGAACUGCAGAUUGAAGAUUAGCAAUAUCUGAAGUCAUAUGGUUGGUUGCACCAGAAUCAACCAGCCAAAAAUCUUGGUGAGGUGCACUUGGAGACAAAUUGGCCCAGGCUUGCAUAUCAACAGGCUGAAAUGAGUGAUAUUGAAGAGGUUGCUGCACUAGUGAUCUAGAGGAAUAAUAACCAGAUGGAACUCCAAUAGAGGAAGAUGGAUGUACAUGAAACUAUUGAGAGGAAGAACUAGCCAUAGGAAACUGUGAGGAAGUGACUGAAAAAUGUUGUGAAGAAGAAACAUUCUUGUCAAAACAAGUAGCUGCAGCAUGUCCUUUUCUGUGACAGAUUUGACACCUAUUCUGAAAACAGUUGAGAGCCGAAUGACCUUUCUUGUCACAAAUUUGACAAAUUUGAAAAGGAUUAUAGGCUGAACCAGAGUGAGAUUGAAUAGGAAAGAAACUCUGAGAAUUAUUUGCACCAUACAGAGACUGUGGUGCAGAUUGAGAACUUGAGUAAAACCGUUUGCCCUUGCCUUUAGACUUGAAAUUAUUAUUACCUCUGAAGUUGUUAAAUAAACAAGAGGCAUAUUGAGAAGGGAAAACACACGGUGGAUUAUCAGGCAUAGUUAUCUGAAUAGGUACUGGAUGUGGAAAUCCAGGCAUUGACAAAGUUGAAAAUCCUGACAUAGACAUCUGGGAAUGAGGCAAAGAAGUCCCAAUGUGCAUUCCAGCAUGUCCCGAAGACUGACCUUGAUCAUAUGUAACUCGACCCUGAGCAUACAUAGCAGACAUUAAAGGAAUUUGCUUGUGAACUUCAUCUAGUGUAGAUUCUUCAGCCUUCAAUUGAGAUAUGAGUUCUUUCAAGGACACCAAACUUUCCCUGCCACGAAUUACAACUUUGAUGGUGUGGUAUUUAGAUGGUAAACCCCGUAAAGCCAUAAUAACAAUAUCUUCAUCAGAAAUAGUCACUCCAAUAGCAACCAAUUGAUCUUUAGAAUCCUUGAUCCGCUAAAGAUAUUGAUCAAUUGACUCAUGCCCUUUUUUAAUAUUUUGUAAGUCAAUUUUCAUCUGCACAAUGCUAGUACGAGUGACACUAGCAAAUCGUUCAUGAAGAUUAUCCCACAUUUCCUUGGAACUCUAGCAGCCAAUGAUGCAGGACAAUGCAGAAGUGGAUAAAGUAGCAGCAAUAAGAGUCAUGAGAGCUUUAUCAUGAAUCUUCCAUAUUUUAUAUGCAUCAGAGAUGACUGGAGUAAUGUCAACAGUACCAGCCACAUAAUUAUUAUCCUCAAAUUUCUUAGGACAAGAAAUUGAGCCAUCAACAAAACCAAUUAUACCAUUUCCUUCCAGAAGAAGAUCCAUUUGGAAAUUCCAGGUAACAUAGUUAGAGUUAUCUAAUUUCACUGUCACAAUGUUGCCUACACUCAUAAUUAAUGAGGAAAUUGGCAAUUGAGUAAGAGCCAACUGAUUAGGGUUCACCAUUGUGUAUAGCCAAGAUUACUUCACUACACAUAACACUUCAAAAUCGCCAAAUAAAAAAAACACAUAAAGCAUCACUAGGAUUCAAAAACCACAACCACCAGAUUGAAGGGAAAAAUAAUGAGAUUCUAGAAUGGGAUUUCAAAUAGACUAUCAUGCAUAUACAAAUCAAAUUGAAUAUACGAAAGCAGCAGAAGCAUUUAUAACAUAUUAUCAAAGCUAUAGUCAUGCAAAUCCCCUUCAAGGUUCAUAGGUUUAUAUAGACAAAAGAAACCUAGUCAACACUUGACUAAAUAUCUCACCCUUUCCACCUUAAAGUGGCCGGCCUCAAAACAUUUUAAAGAAUCAAGAACAAAGUGAAGGUUAGUCUUAUACCUCUUGAUCUAGACUUGAGACCAAGGAUGGACCACCUCCAAGCCCUUUGCUCCUUGAAAUCCUUGAGCCUAGCUUCCCUCCUUGCCUCCUCCACUUUGAUAAAAUGAGUGCUCCUAGGUUCUCUUCAAGUUUCCAAAGUAGGAAACCUCUAAAGAUCCUCACCCAUUAGUGUAGUGAGAAGGAUGAAGGAAUAACCAAAAGGGUGUAAGAGAUGUUAGUAAAAACCCCCUUUGGUGGCCGGCCUUUGUGUAGUUUAGAGAGCUAUUUUUCUUUUGCCUCUUUGUUGUUUUUAACACACAAAAACCCUAAUGAACAAUAUCUUAUAAAGUUCCUUAUAUAGACAAAAGAAACCUAGUCAACACUUGACUAAAUAUCUCACCCUUUCCACCUUAAAGUGGCCGGCCUCUUUGUUGUUUGUUUGGGCUUUGGGCUUUUAUUAUUUCAAGUCAUCCAAUGCUUGAAUAAAAGCCCAAUGGAUUUAGGCCCAAUGGGCCCAAUUAAACCCGAACGUUUCUUAAGCCCAAAACGAUCUUUAUCGCUUUUAUGAUUUCUUUAGACUUUCUAAAUUAAUCACAACAAUCAAUUAAUCCAAUUAAUUAUUUCCAUCAUCCAUUAGUUACUCACUACAAUAGUGUUGUGGCGAACAAUCUUUUAGGUUCUAAUUAGCAAGGCAGUGAGGUGAUUGGCAUCAAUCCAAUUGCUUAUAUUUAAUUCAAUCACUUAGUGAAUUAAAACUUCAUUUUAAUUCACCUUUCUUCUUUGACGACUACAUUUAAUCAUCUAGAAGAACUCACAAGCUAUGAGUGACAUCUAACCAUAUGUCAUAGCUACCCAAACUAAUGUAGAAGUUUAUUCGAAGAACCUAGUCAGUUGGAAUUAUAAUGUAAUUCAAUCCUUCUCUAAUUCAAUACUCUCAAUCACAUCAUUAGGGUAUGGAUAUAUCAUGUCAAACCCCUAAUGUGAUUAUUCCUUCUUAUAUGAUCCAAUUGAGUCGUAUAGGAACGCUUUCCUUUAUUACGCUCGAUACUUCGGCCGAAGAUUCCCGAAUCAUAUCUUAGAGUAUUCUUCCUCUCUUAUCGAGGAUUAGAGAUUCCUUGUUGCGCAUACACUUGCCUUCAUGACUAAGUGGCUUAACCACAACUAUGCCGUUGACAUUCUGAUAGAGUGACGUUGACAUAAUCAAAGAUUAAGUACUUAACCACAAGACAACGGCGAUGCCUCAGGUCAAAGGACUACUUACAUUAUUCCAACCAUUAGAGUUACUUGCUUGACAUGUGAGUAGACCUCCAUGCAAGUACUCUCUUUCGAUUGUGUUCAGUGAACUCAUUCCCUUAAUGAGCACCUACAUACUUGUCUUAGUGUCACAACACGAAUGGGAUGAGACUUUCCAUCCUUCCAAUUGAAGCGGACACAGUAUGUACCGGUCUAAGCAUUGUCAGUAUCCCUCCGACAAUCCAACGACCAGGAACCUUUUGGACAUAAUGGUUAUGUGAAGAAGGUCUCUGUAGUCUAACUUCAUUAGAUUACUUCUUCAAUCGAUCCAUUGUCCAUGGAUUCACUAUUCAGGACAUAUAUUGUUUAUUGAGAUAGUCCUAAUUAGUUUCUUUGCCAUUUGAUGUAUAAGAAUCAUCCAUACAUCGAUUCAUUUGUCCUGAAAGAUUUCUUCCAAAGAUUGACUUUCAGGGCAUAUUUCCAACACAGAUAGCCGCAAAUCUUUGAACAUGCACAAUAUUGCAGAAAGAACACAACAAUUCGAAAGAAGCACAAGUACGAAAUCGAAUCAGAAAGUAGAGAAUCACAAUUAACAGAUGCAAGAGAGAGGAAGAAACACCUUGCAAGCGACAACAACGAACGCAGAAGUAACCAUCGGCUUCUACCAUGACUGUACACCAAAAUCCGCAAAUCUUAGGGUUUGAGCACCAACUUCGAUCGAACACCACUGACUUCAAUCGAAACACCACCGACGUCAAUCACCACUAACAACACAGCACGGAGCGACAAAAAAAGCAAGAGAUGAGCGGAAGCAACCAGGUCGUCAAUCGAUGACGGUGGCCAUGAUAGGCGAUGAUACCAUGUCAACUAUGAAGAAUUGUAGGAAGCAAUUGUAGAGUGAGAAAGUUAACAAACAGGAGAGAGAUACUGAAUAUUCUUUUUCUCAUUAAAAACCCGAUAAUUACACUUCAAUGUGGUAUAUAUAGUCUAUACCAGAGAACAACAAUUCUAACUAACUUUAUAAAACAAUCAAUUACAAUAUAAUACAUGUCACAUAUCCAACCAUUCUAUCAAUACAUCUGUCAUCCUAACAGCGACCUUAGGUUCAGAUGCAUUCACUGAAGUCAUUGUAGGUGCCAUUGGUGGAGGGAGAUUGAAAGAAGCUGAGAAUUCUAGUCUUUAAUUUGUAUGUCUAGAAGGAAAGUUAAUUGUUUGAGUGGUGUGGAGAAAUAUGGAAAAGGGAGUUGGUAUUUAUAGAGCAGGAUGGCAAGAUAAUAUAUGACCGACUUUAGUCGUGAGAAGUAUUUACAACGCAAGCACCCUUAUGGUCUUAACCCCAUAAGGUGGAGGUUUUUGAAUAAGUUGGCUAACGAUGACCUAAGUUUCAAAUUUGUUGUCCAGCUGCAACAAUAAAAUAUAUAUUAGUUUGUUGUUAACCACCAUGUAUAUGGAAAAUAUUAAUUCUUUAAAGACCAUGUAACUACAUUUAAAUUAUUUCUCUAAUAGAGAUGAGACACACUUGUUAGCCUUAUUAGGUUAUACAAUUAAGACACAAACGAAAGAGUGACUGACCUAAUUCCAAUGGCGGCCAUGGAAGUUGAAACCAAAAGUAGUAGAGCACGGCAACACCAGGAUCUUCUAUAAGCUACAACUACUCUAUGGGAAGCAUUGUAUUGUGUUAUCUAAGGCUUAUAGGGACCGGUGUUUAUAUAUAUAGGCUAAAAGAUAGGGUUUCCAUCCAUAAAGGAAAUCUAAACUUACUUUCUUAGCCUCUAAGUUAAGUAUCAUAAUUAUAAUCAAUUAGGGAUUCCAUCAAUCCUAUUUCCAAUAUAAGACACAUGAUAUAUGAUUAAUAUCUUUAAGAGAUCGAAUCAUAAUCAACAUUAUUUCUCCAAUAUGACAUUCCUAUUACAUGUAGUAGACCAGUUAAAGGUUGAUUUGUAUUGGAUAAAUCCAACAUUCUCCCACUUGGUCUACAAAAUGUAAUAUUCAUGUUUAUACUUGAGAUUGGAUACUAAUGUCUCUUUAGUGGCCAUGUAAUAGUGAUUACAUCUCGUCCUUAAUGCAGUUUCUGUCAAAUGCAUUUCUCAACAUGGAACUAACAAGGUUGUAGGGUUGACACAAUCUAGAACCUUCAUAAUCACACAUGCUAAGAUCCUCAUUCACAUGAAACACAAAUUAUGAUCAAGAGAUGAAACUUUAAAUAAACUUUAAGUUAACCAAAAUGUCUUACUUUAUAUCAUCUCAGGUCCAUCUUAUUGUAACACACAGGUUACACUUUUACACUUCUUCGAAGCCUUAAAUCUGCCAAUGCAGAUAUCCUUCAUCUAAUGAAACCACCAUAACCUGUAGGCGUGAAUACAUCUCAAAACAAUCUCACUUCACUUUCAUUAGACCAAUAACAAGCACACAGACAAUGUUUGAAGCCAACGGACACAACUAAAAGUACCAAAUAGGCACAUGUCCAAGUAAAAUACCCAGAAGCUUCGUAAAACAAACUAAUCCAACACUUAUAAGUAGAUGAAUUAACAUGUUUUUGACAUUGAUCUAUGCACUUUACCAGUUACUUUAAUGGUGAUUUCCAACACCUGCGAGCAGAUUGAAAUCCUCACAACUGACGCAUAGACCAUGCCAUGCCAUUUAGUAUGCAGUUUGAUAACAACUUGAUAUCCAACAUAUGUUUCAUCAGAUAAAUGACUAGCACACAAAAAAUGUGACUUAAUGAAUCUAGCUGAAGAUUAAACUGAAUACAUGGAUUCUAUAUAUACCUUAUAGGUCAUCUGCAAAUGUAAGGCAUUACUAACACAAAACUCAACCUCCCACUGAUCUGCAACAUCAUUACUUAAUUUGCUAGUCAAUACUUAAAUCAUAUUUUUGAAAAUAUGCCUUUGGGAAUAGCCUUACUUGGUCAAUGAAUGCAUAUUAACUCAAUGAAAGGUACAACUAAGCAUGGAAGCAUUCACUGCUGUUACACAAAAACAUGCAUCUAACAACCAUCUUAUAUGUAUUAAUAAGUCCACAUUUAUGCUAAGUCCUUGUGAGCCUCAAAACAAAUGAUCAACCAAGAAAUCCAAAUGAUUGCAAGUAAUAGAAAAAUGUACGCAUAUACCAAGUAUCCAUUCGUGCAACUUAAACAUAUUAUAGAUAUUCGAGUAACACAAAUUCAUGGAAGAUAGAAUAACGCUUUAAUAGAUUCAUGCAAGUCCACUUAAUGCUCACAAUUUUAGAACAACUCCCACUAAGUUUUCAGAGUUUAUACUUGCAAAUAAGUUAACGAGUGUAAAGCCCAAUUUUUUUCACUAAUUCUCCCACUUGGGUAAACACUCUUUCAAGUAUGUACCUAAAUAAAAUUGCCUUAUAUUUUAGACGUAAUAAAAUAGACAUUACAAUCAACAUAAAGUUGUCAAACAGAAUUUUCAGCAACAAGUUACACUUUAUUUAGAAUUAAUCAUAAUUAAUUUAUAAGCUUGAUUGAUACCAAAUUUAUACUGAUCAAAAUAGACAUACAAAUCUUCAUAAGACAAAAAUAUGGAGCUGUUUUGGGUCAAAGUAGUAGUCUAAAGUGACGUCUCAAAAAGAUCAACACAAUAUGUCAGUAAAAACUGUCUAUAUGAGCAUGGGUUACUAGUAAAUUCACCAUAAUUAACAUACAUGGCAGAAAAUUACGAAAAUUUGCAGACACAUAGUAGACAUCUAUAUGUUGAACAUAUCCAAAAUUCAGUUAACUUGGUGACCAUUAGACGUGUCAUUCAUCCAAUUUAAUUCAAGUCACGUAAUCUGCCAGAAACAAUUAUGUUCAUCUAUCAUGAAUUUAUGCAUCCAUAACAAAUUCAAUUUCAUAUCAUUUCAAUUUCAAUGUCCAAAAGAAACUUUAGUAGUCAAAUUUCAUCGUCUCAACCGACAUCAUAAUUCAAAUUGAAAAGAUUUACAAGCAUAAGAUUUAAACAAUGCGUACCUUAGCAAUCCUUGAUUAACCUUCAUGGGUCCAAUACUUUGCAUCAACAAGUCUCAUGAAGAGACACAAAAUACGUCAUGAUGCAACUGAUUUCUAUGCCUUAAAACCACAACCUAUUAAGGCCAAAAGCCUCACGCGCCCACGAUGAAUAGGGGGGGGGCUUUGGCCAAAGAACCUCCGAUGCCAAAGUUAGAAUUUUAGAGAGAAAAAGUGUUUAGAGUGUUUAGGAUUUUUUGUAAGAGAAUUGGAAUUGGCUUUUUGGUGAGAAAUGAGAGUAUAUUUAUAGGGAUAGGAGGUGGCUAGGGUUUUUUGGGUUUGAUUUAGGUUUAAUUAGCCAAUUUAUUUUGCUAUUAAACAUAAAAUGAAUGUUUUGGUGGUUUUUUGUAUAAUUGGCUAAUCAAUGUCACAAAAAAGGAAAAUUAUGGUGAAAAAAGAAGGAAAUGGCCGGCUCCCUUUGGAGAAGGGAUAACCGGCCUUUAGGGUGAUUUUUGGGCUUAAUUUGGUGAUGUAAUUAGCCUUUAAUAUAUUGAUUAUAUUAAUUGGUUGAGGAUGUUAUGGAAUGUUUGAAAUAAAUGGCUAAUUGAAUAAGGAAAAAAUGAGGUAAAAACAUAUAUGGAAUAAAAUAGGUUUUGAAUUGUUACCCAUUUUGGGUACUCCUGACUUGGUUGAUGGAUGAUUCUCCACUGCUCGGGUGUAGGAAACCCAGUAUGCCUCGAGGGUAUUUUUGUCCUCUUUUGUCCAAAAGUCCAUGUGUCGCCUAGUGAAUAUUUUUGGCUCCACAAAUGCCCCCACACCUGUUGGGCUGCUCGCAGAAAAGGGCAGCAGGUGUAGAGAUCUUCUUGCUUUAGGAAACUUAAGACUGCUUCCUAUUUUGAUGUAUAUUCUCUCUUUAAUAGGAAAUUAGAUCCUUCUAGGAAAGGGAAAUAAAUUUCUCUCAAAGCCUAUUUAAAUCCACCUUAAGUGGGUUAUUAAAUCAACUUUGGAGAGCGAUUUAUUCUACCCUACAAGAGAGAGAUGGCUUAGAGGAUAUUUGUUCCCCCUCCUCUAGCAAUCUUCUACAUCUUGCCCAUGCAAAGGACCGUAUUUCGUUGAUUUCUUCGUCUUCUUCGUGGAUGGUGCUACCGCGGGGCAGCCGUCGGGGUGGUGCGGCACGUCGGCUGGCAUGGGCCAGGAGUCGACUCGGUAUGGGCCGAUGAGGUAUUGUGGUAGGGACCACUGCUUUAAGCUGCUCGACUUGGCUAGAACCAAGGGCAGCUUGUGUGGCUGGGGCCUCGGAUUGUGGCACUGGGGCGCAGUGCUAGGCAAGUCAUAUGGCUUAUGUCCUUUUAGGCUUUUGGACAUGACGCGAGUUAGGCCGGUGAUUGAGAGAAAUGAAGAGGUUGCAGUCCUCAUGAGCUGCUAGAAUGUUGGGUUGAACUUCCCUGCUAGGUACCACGAAUGACAUUGGUUAUUUUAACUUUUUUCGUCAGGAGAAACGUGGGCUGCUCCCAAAAGAGGAGGUGAAUAGGAUCAAAGUGGAUGUACUGGCUCGUCCAAUCACCAUUGUGGAUCCCGCUGCAACUGAAGGUGGGAAAAUGGAUAUUCUCUGCUUGCUCAAGAGAUGCCGGCUGAGAAAAAACCAAAGACUUCUUUCGCUGCUCGAGCUGGUUCGCCGACUACUUCCAGGCUUGUGAUUGACUUGACUUUUUCCAAGGGGACAAAAAAUGAGGCUUCUAGAUCUGAGCAUGUGGCGCCUGCCAUGUCAAGAAUGGCUAGUACGAUUGCUGAUAGGAUUGUUCGGCAUAAAGGUCUUGUCAUGCCCUUAGUGCCGAAUUUUGUACCAAGACGUCUGUUGGGAGCUAAGUCCAGUUCACCUUUGGAGAGGCUUGCUAUUAUGAAAAGCGAUAAGGUGGACUCUACUGCUAAAGUGGCGUCAAGGCCCAUUCCUUAGCUGCUGAGACUGAUUCGCCUGUUGGGAAUGAGGAGACUGCUCGCGUAGGCAGCUGUGAGAAAUCCACUAAACCUGCUUCUGAGGAGGCUGCUGAGAUCUAUGUGCUUUUGAAACCAGAUCUCUUGAAAACAUGGAUGCUUGUGCCAAGUUUGUUGAUGACGUCAGAAAGGUUGUUUGCCCAAGCUCGUUUGCGAAGCAUACGACCCAAUAUAGAAGGACCGCUCUGCUUGUUAUGAUGCAAAUAUAGCAAGGCUGCUAAGGAGAUGGCAAAUACUAUGGCAGAUUCUAAGCUCGUUGCUUUGAAGGGGUCUAAUAUUUCUGCCCCCACUUCUCUCAGAUUCAAGAUCUUAAGUUUGCAGUUUCUGAGCUUCGUUUCGCUGCUUAUGCUAAGAAAUGAGUGGAUGAGCUGCAGCGCGUCCGUGUUAGUCUGCUUAAGAAGAAUGAGCAGCUGAAGGGUGAGAAGGAUGGGCUUGAGGUUUUAAGACCUUCUCUAUUUCUCCGGAAGACUUGCUUGCUUUUACUUUUAAGGCUUCCAUUGGUGAAGUAGUUGGAGAAGUUAGUGCCCAGGCUGGGGCAGCCGGGGGUGAAGCGCCGGAUGAUGCCGCUGCUAAGAGCGUUACGGCUGCUGAAGGUGUGGCGACCGAGUAGUCGUGGGAUGUCCAAGCUGCUGUAGUGUAAUAUUCUAAGUAGCCUUUAGGAUUUUCUUUGUUUUUCCUUAUAGCUCUUGUUUUGCUUGAACUCCUUCGGCCUUUGCUAGUUAUUUAUAAACAUGUUUUCCUUCGUUUUUCUUCAUCUUCGCUUCUUUUGUUCAUGCCCUAACCUUUAGACUUGAUAGACCAGUGGCAGGCAUGCUACUUUUUUAUAAGCAGACAAGCUCGCGUAGCCUAUGCAGCCGUAGAUGUUGGUGUAGAACUUUGCAAAGUUGUUAGCCAUAGGGUUGGCAGCCGGAUGCCUUACUUACAGAAGCAGAUAAGUCCGCGUAACCACUAGGCUGUUAACCUUGACUUUCUUCAAUUCCGUAGGUUGCGUAGCAAGUAUCACAACACUUUAGGACUUGGUGUAGGUUGUUCCGCGCUUGACAGAGGUGAAGCUUAUCGACUACGUAGCAUGUCGGCAGUGGAUAAAACUUCGUAUAUGCGCGCUAGCUUGUUUAACCUUUCACAAGAAUGUGCGGUUGUAUAAGUCUAGCGCUGCUUUACAGCUCGAAGGGCAAGCCGUAGGCAGUCUUCCGGAAUCCGUAGGCUACCUUAGUGCACUCGGUAGCAGCUUUAGGGUUCCAGGGCAGCCGUCUAUAGGGCGUACUACGUAAUGUGCCCCCUCCGUCUCUAGGGCCCGAUUCCCCACGGAUUAGGCCAAGAGACCCAAAAUCCUUCAGUUAGCUAAGCCUUGAAAAAGACCAUUGUGGCUACUUCUAGGAAUCCCGGCGCAAGCCAUCGUGCAUCUAGUUACACUAGGGCAGCCAGGCUCAUCCACGUCUGGAUAUUCGGAGUGUAAAGUUUAUCCUCCCAUCUUGGAGAGCUAACCCAUAUGGGUGUCGGGGAAUUGGUUUACCCUCUCGCACUGGAGAGCAUGGUUGGUCCCUCGGGGGGCACAAUUCUUGCGAUGAGUCCCUAAGAAGGGCGCAGUCUUCUUUUGAAAUGCAUAAGUGAUUAGUUGUUGUAAGCAUGCAGCCGAGCCAAGUUGUGAUUACUUCUAAAUUCCUCAUUGAAAAACAAGUGAAACGAACGAGAAUUUAGCUGUAAGGUAGGAAUUGCAUAACAACUGGAUAGUCCUCAGCUUGUGAGGUGGUGCCCGUCGAGCUUUUUGAGUCUUCGGGCUUUGAUGUAGUGGGAGGUCACACACAGUACUUCUUCAGAUUGUAGGCGCUCCACUACUUUUCGAUCAUUUUAUCGUUUCAUGGUGGCGAGGGUGUAAUUACUCUUGCCGCCUACUCUGCUGAUUUUGUACGGACCUUCUCUAUGGGCAAUGAUGAAGGCUUUUCUUAGGACUAGAUCUCUGGGCUGGAAUUGCUGCUGGUAACCUGCGAUGCGAGUGAAGUCUACUCGCACUUCUCCUCUGCCAGAUUUAAGCUUGUGGCCAUCUCAUUUCGGUUGCUCGUCUUUUGGUGGUGCGAUAUGCCCAUAGACAUCUAGGGAGUUCAUCUGGCCAUUUUCUUUUCUUAUUGGUGGAGGAUUUCUUGUGACAGUCGAGGAUCAUCUUGGUGGAUACUUUGGCCCGCCUAUUGCCUUAAGAAUAUCUUGGCGUAGACAUGUGCUGCUUGAUGCCAUAUUUUUGGAAGAACUUCGCCAAAUCUUUGCCCAUGAAUUACGGGCCGUUGUCGGUGACGAUGGAUUAAAGGAUGCCAUAUUGACAAAUGAUGUUCCUCUAUAUGAAACGCUCUAUGUCCGUCUGAAUCGUGGUCAUCAUGGACUUUGCUUCUACCUAUUUGGUGAAGUAGUCGGUUGCCACGAUCGUCAUGCCUUUGCCCCCAGUAGUCUGGCUGGUGAUUAGCUGGGAAUCGGAAUAAAUUGAAAGCUUUUCACCGCCAAGUCUUUUGUCAUUCGAAAGCCUGCUAGUAGGGCUUCAUACUCUGCUUCGUUGUUAGAUGCUUUGAAGCUUAGAGUGAUCGCCUACUCGAGCAUUAAAACGUCUGGGGUGGUAAGAACCACGGCUGCUCACGAGCUUUUGUAGUUGGAUGCGCUAUCGACAUGCAAACGCCAGAAAUCUCCAUUGAGGGAGCAGGUGUGGCUAAAGUGUGCUCAGCUGCCUUCGGGACGCCAUUGGGCCGUUCUGUUGCAUUGUCAAGGCUAGGCUUGAAGGCGCGGUAGGGAGCCGUGGAGCUGGGGCCAUGUUACAUGUAGCAGGAGAUGCUCAACUUCUGGUAUUAGGCCACUCUAGAGUUGAAUCUUCUGGGGCGACGAGGACAAAACUUGCUUCUGAGUGUUCCUUCUAGUGUUCGUCUACCAUUGACGUGUCUUUUGGGCCGAGUUGUUAUGUUCGUCAGAAAACUUUGCAUCAGCCAGGGUCUAUGCCUUUAUCGUCGCAGGUUUGGAUUCGGCGGAAUAAUGCGUCAUGAUGAUGACUGCGUGCAUUUGAAGGUAAAACUUAAGCUUUUGGGUUACAACAACUAUCGCCAAAGUUAGCUUUUGAAUUUUUAAUAGCAUCGAGAAGAGCUUUUGAACUGUAGAAUACAGGUAACUGUAGAAUAUAGGUAGUCAGGCCCCAGCUCUUCUCGCAUGAUGGUAGAGCUUAUUGCUACUUUAGAUACCGUCAACAUGCGAAUAAGUCCUCCGUUGCUACUAUGGAGGUGAUGUCGGGUACUUCUUCAAGUCCUUGAAUGUGCAUUGGCGAUCCUCAUCCCAGAGUGCAUGCUUCUCUGCCAAAGCAAAAGAGUCUGCCAAAGUUAGAUCUUCUUUCAUGAUCAAUUUUCCGAGUAGAGGGUGGUCUGCUGGAAGUCCUUUUUGGAAGGCUGCUCUAGCUAUCGAGUCGUUGCAUCCGACUAUUUUUGCCUUCUCUACUUUGAACCUCCUCACAUAGUCGCGAAGCGACUUCUUUGGGUUCUUCUUGACGUCGAACAAAUGGUCAGACUUCUUUUUGAUCGAGCGAUAUGAUGAAUAUUCUCUGGUGAAAACCAAAGAAAGUUCGUAGAAAUUUCGGAUGGAUUGUGGCGGCAGGGUGUAAAACCAAUCUUGCGCCUCGUCUUGUAGAGUGGUGGCGAAUAUCUUGCACAUAAGAUCAUCGUUGUUUGGAUAAAGGAUCAUUGCGCUUCGGUAGCGCUUCAAGUGUCUCUCCGGGUCUUCAUCCCCUUUGAAAGAUGUGGAAUGUGGCAUGCUGAAAUCGCGUGGAGGCUCUGCCUGCUCGAUCUCGUCCGUGAAGGGUGACCUUCUUAUGUUGGUCAUGUUCCGUCGUAGUGCCUCGUCGGUGACCUCGUUACGUUGGAAAUCAUGCAAUCGUUUGGUCAAAAGUCUUUCUACUUCAUCCUGAAUUUGCCUUUGUUGGGGUAGCGGAGCUCUCGGCUGCCCACAGCCAUGACUUGUUGGUCUAGGCUGCUCUUCCAUGUGUUUGGCUCGUCUAUGCCGCGGAUGCAGUGCAUAUGGUGCGUUCCUAGCAGGCCAACGAGUUCUUCGCAGGUUGCUGGUUGAACUUGAGCUGGAUUGAGUGACUGCUUUUCUCCGUCCGUCGGGCUGCCUACUCCGAUGUGAGGUGGAUGAUGCUCCUUGCGGGUUUAGCCGCAAAUGAACACUUCGCCUGGAAGGCUGCUCAUAUUGGCUAUUGGAGUGUGACCCUAACCAUGAAUGUAUGCUCGUUUGUGGGCCUAGUCGAGAGUGCACGCUCCUCCAUGCUCUAAGAUGGGAGUAUACGCUAUCUCGGGGGCCCAAUCAGGAGUGUAUACUGCCUGAACGCUCCGUUCGUUGCUGGUCGAGUGGCUGCUUACCGGGACGCUGCUGGAGAGGUUCUUUGUCUGCCCUUGUCCUACUUCGGAACAUCUCGUCUGGGGCACGUUGCAUCUCGGUGCGUUGCAAGAGCCGGUUCACCAAGGUCGUCUGCUGUGCGAGGACGCUUGUCAACUCUAUGACCUGUCGUGACAAGUGUUGUUCUCCAUUUGGGUUGGAAGAGCUUGGAAGGAAUGUGCCUCCUUGGGCAAUGGAAGAGUGGUAGACUCCGGGCACGAGAUUUGAGUUGGGAAAUGUCAAAUUCGUGAAAAAAUAUGGUGAGAAUGCCCCCGGCUCGAUGGUAGGUCCGGAUGGUUGAGAUAGUCUUGGGCCGACUUGGGCUGCUUGGAAAACCACUGGAGCAGGAUGGGCCGUGAGAGUGGGCUGCUCGACGGAAGCAGGCUGGACCACGGGAGUGGGCUGCUCGUCGGGAGCAGGCUCGGUCACGAGAGCAGGCUGCUUGGCAGGAGCAGGCUGGGCCACGGGAAUGGGCUACUCGACGGAAGCAGGCUGGGCCACGGGAGUGGGCUGCUGGACGGAAGCAGGCUGGACCACGGGAGUGGGCUGCUCGUCGGGAGCAGGUUGGGUCACGAGAGCAGGCUGCUUGGCGGGAGCAGGCUGGGCUGGGAGAGCAAGUUGCUUGGCGGGGGCAGGCUGUUUAGUAUGUGAUGCAUGCGAAUGCGAGGCUUGGGCCCAGGCCUAUGCAAACUUGGAUGGCACGACUUGGGCUGUGGCCUUGGUGCCGUAAGCCUUGGAUGACACUGCUCGAGCCGUGGUGAAGGCUCCAUGGACCUCUCCACGGGUGGCUACUGAGGUAGCCACCGUGGUGGUUCCCAUGGUGGAAACUCGUGGUGGUGGUGCUGCUCCACUUAUUGUCGCAUUUAGCCUCACGGAUCUCCGCAAUCCCAUUUCUUGAACAUUAGAAUUUUCACUUGUGGAAAUUUCUAAAUUUCUAGCCAUUAUAUUUUGCUUAUACGUUUUAUCAAAGAACCUUUGCAAGUAAAAAAAUUCUAAUAAUAAGAAUGUAUGAAAAAUUUUCAAAUGGACUAGAAAAUAAAGAAAAAACCUUUUUGUGCGAGAGUCUUCUACGAGUAUGGAUUUCAACUCUCAAUGAAAGCACCAAUUUGUGGAUGCAAAUUUUCUCCUCUUCGAUCUUGGACGAUUUUGCACCUACAAAACAACUAGCACCUUAGGUUAAGGCCAAAAGCCUCACGCGCCCACGAUGAAAUGGGGGGGGGGGCUUUGGCCGAAGAACCUCCGAUGCCAAAGUUAGAAUUUUAGAGAGAAAAAGUGUUUAGAGUGUUUAGGAUUUUUUGUAAGAGAAUUGGAAUUGGCUUUUUGGUGAGAAAUGAGAGUAUAUUUAUAGGGAUAGGAGGUGGCUAGGGUUUUUUGGGUUUGAUUUAGGUUUAAUUAGCCAAUUUAUUUUGCUAUUAAACAUAAAAUGAAUGUUUUGGUGGUUUUUUGUAUAAUUGGCUAAUCAAUGUCACAAAAAAGGAAAAUUAUGGUGAAAAAAGAAGGAAAUGGCCGGCUCCCUUUGGAGAAGGGAUAACCGGCCUUUAGGGUGAUUUUUAUGCUUAAUUUGGUGAUGUAAUUAGCCUUUAAUAUAUUGAUUAUAUUAAUUGGUUGAGGAUGUUAUGGAAUGUUUGAAAUAAAUGGCUAAUUGAAUAAGGAAAAAAUGAGGUAAAAACAUAUAUGGAAUGAAAUAGGUUUUGAAUUGUUACCCAUUUUGGGUACUCCUGACUUGGUUGAUGGAUGAUUCUCCACUGCUCGCGUGUAGGAAACCCAGUCUGCCUCGAGGGUAUUUUUGUCCUCUUUUGUCCAAAAGUCCACGUGUCGCCUAGUGAAUAUUUUUUGCUCCACACCAGGAACUUCUAUAAACUCCUAGCCGAAUACAACUACUAUAUGGGAAGCAUUGUGUUGUGUUAUCUAGGGCUUAUAGGGACUGGUGUUUAUAUAUAUAGGCUAAAAGCUAGGUUUCCAUCCAUAAAGGAAACCUAAACUUACUUUCUUAGCCUCUAAGUUAAGUAUCAUAAUUAUAGUCAAUUAAGGAUUCCAUCAAUCCUAUUUCCAAUAUAAGACACAUGAUAUAGGAUUAAUAUCUUUAAGAGAUCGAAUCACAAUCAACAUUAUUUCUCCAAUAUUACAUUCCUAUUAUAUGUAGUAGACCACUUAAAGGUUGAUUUAUAUUGGAUAAAUCCAACAACACUUGUAUUAAAGACCCUAUAUCUAUUCAAGAGAGGUUUAUUGUGGUCUUCAAAGAAAAAUGUCAUAGGGAUAUUUAGACCAUAUUUGUAAAUGAUAUGAUAUGUGAACAAUAAAAAUAAGUUCGUUAAUCAAACACUUAAGUAAUAAAAUAAUCAUUGACAUUGACAACCACAUCAUGUUUAUAUAUAUGGUCUCUUUAGCAUUACUCAAUCUACAAACUGUGGUCUUCUUAGCAUCACCCUCUUUGUAAUAGAAGUAGAGUCCACCAUAUGUAGUAGGUUGCACUUCUAUUAUAAAGAUGAGAUAAAUGUGGUCUCUAAAAUAUUAGCUCCCCAGCAUAUUUCUAUGCAAUAAUCAUAGUCCCACUAGAACAUAGGAAAACCAAAAUUUAACAAUAGGGAACUGCCUAUAGAUAUGUUAUAUAAUACUACUACAAAAUUUGACCAUUAAUUGGUGAACAUACUAAGUAAAUUUACAUGCUGUAAGUAGUUAAACUAAUAAAAUAGUGAAAAUAUGCUUUAUUUUGUUUUAUAUUCCUAAAGAUGGAGGGGAGAUGGGGAAAGUAGAUGCAUGAAUGUAUAGUUGAUGAGAAAAUUAGAAAAAUGUAGGAAAGCAUUUGGUAUGGGGUUUAAGGAAAUCCAGUGUCGCGUCCAGUUUGAGACUUUGGCUACGGCAGAUAAGCCACUGAAGGUAGCACUACAUCUUCAUGUGCCCCACCCAUUAACCAACCAAUGUGUUCCCUCGACGACGUGAAUAAUUCGUCUCACAACAAGCCGGUCACCACAGCCAAGUAAAAGAAUAUGAAACGAAAUAUGGCACAAACUAACAAACACAAUCGCGCAUCGUCAUCUGGACGCAUCUACAAUUCCAAAUCUAAAUUACCCACCAGUAGGGAACAGAUUCUUUAUGUGCCCAGUAAUAUUGGAAUCCCGUUUUAUAAAACCUAGUUAAUUGGGUGCAAUUAUUAACACUUUAAAAAUUGUUGUGCACUUUUUAUAAGGUUUUUUAUUUUUUUUAUUUUUUUUUAUUAUUAUUUUUUUUACAAAUAACAUUUUACAGUAUUCAUAUUAAAGGGAAAAGUUUAAACUUUGGACGAAAUUGGUUGAGAAGGAAGACCUAACUAUUAAGAGCAUCACUAAUGAAGGCCUUAUCCUCCUUUUCUUUUAGGGCUACUAUAAAUGUAGCACUAGUGAGAAAUUUCAUCCCAAUGAAACAAGAAAAUUGGUCUACAUCCACCACAUGGGCUAGUAUCUUCCUUGAAUAGUAAAAAAUUAGACUAUAUGAAACUUAGGAUGAGAAUGAUGCAAUCCAUAUCUAUAUGAAACCUCUCUUUUGUUUGGUGAACCAUAUAUAUGCCUAAAACCUUUUGAAUGUGAAUGUGUACGGAAAUUUGACUUUUACCUUUCGUUCAAAGGAAUUAUCCCUUCCAGAAUGUAACCCCACACAAGUCAAAGUGACAUCAUUUGCACCCAUUUCUCUAGUAGCAACGUCAUCAUACCUUUUAACUUUUUUUGUCCUGCUUUAAGUCUCUAUGUGGGUUGACUGGAAAAGGUAACGAAUCAGACAAAAUAACCGCGAAUACGCCAAUAGAAAAAGCAAGUCCAUUAGGAGAGAUUUUUUCAGUAUUGACAAGAACAUGGGAUGAUAUUCUACUAGUGCACCAAAUGCCAGUCAUGUGUGUGGGUUGACUUGCCUCCAACUCAAAAAAUUCAUCUUCACCAGUGGCAGGUUUAGAAAAUAUUAUUUAGGAGGGGGGAGGGGGUAGGGAGACGAGAGGAGGGUUUCAGUAAAAAGAGAGCACGCAGCGCAAAAAAUCUUUUAGACAUAAAUACGUGCAAAUUACCUUUUCAUCAAGUCUUGGAAGACUUGAAGUCAUUUGCAGAGGUAUAUUGCACACCUAUUAAUGUCUUAAUUGCAUGGGUAACUAUAUGUUCCAAGGCUGCUCCCAUAUGAAUGAUUAAUUAAGGAACACUUAUCGUUAACACACUAACAAAUUGAUUGAUAUCAUUGGAUUUCGUUAAUAUGUUUGUUCAAGAAUGAGAUGCUUUGUUCAUUCUUUGAGAUUACCAUUUCAUUUACUUUGCAUUUUUGGAUAGUCUUUUACUUCAUUCUUAUUUUCAUCCCACAAUUGUAAUCACAACCAACAAGCAAAUUAGAGGUAAACAAUUUUAGGACUAGACUGUAAACCAAAACUUUCGACCAACUAUAAUUAUAAAGAAGUAUAAAAUACUAAUAAUAGGAUUUGAAAGGUGCGGCAAAGCAACACAACUGCUGAGCAAAACAUCCACUAUGCUAUGCCCAAAUCUAAGCAUGCCUUGUAGCCCAGCAGUCCAAGCUCCUCUCUAAGGCAUUUUAUCAAGCAGUUGGAGGACAUAUAUGAAGGGCGACUCUAAUCUUAAAAAAGACAGCAUCCAAGUCAUCCAUGAAAAUUCAAUGGAGUUCGGAAGAUCAGCUGACCCCCUUGCCCCUAAGUUAGUUCGCCCCUGAUCUCCACCGGUUCAAAAUCAUUGAGACAAUUAAAGCAAGGGAAGCAGCCCAACUUGUUCAAGCUUGACCUUGCACGUACAGACAAUUGGAGCAAGGGUAGCAGCUCAUUUGGCUGCCCUGCCUGUUCAAGCAUAAACUUGCGCCUGCAGGCAAUUGAAGUUGAUGUCAGCAUGGAUCCACCACGUGCAACCCACUGAGGCAAAAGCCUCGCCUUUAGCCGUUAGAUUUCCAACAGUCUUCUUGUCUGGACAGUUGGAUUUCCAACAUUAAAAAAAUUGAAAAUUAUAUGUUGUGCCAUGUCUUGGAAAUCAACAAACAUGAUUAAUCCAAAGGUAAAACAAUCCAACAAAUUCUGAAAAAUUCCAAAAUAAAAACACAAAAUUUUGUUUAAGAACACAUUUAAACAAACUCACAAAAUUCAGCCAUCUUUUUCCUUCACUUUUUAUCUCUAAUUAUUAUGCUUGUUUGUAAUGCUAUUUUUUGCUUUGUAUUUAAAAUUAAAUUAUCGGAGUUAAUUAUGGAAUUUUAUUUUCAAAAUAUAAACUUGCUAAGUACACACUUACAAGGCAUACAAAAUGAAAAUAUAUUUGUCACAGCCCGUCCCGGAGGUACUUUUGGCGGGAAUGUGAAAGGACAAAAAUGCCCUUGUCAGGUAUCAAGGUAUGGGUGAUUACCUAUGCUUUGAUACACGUGAUUGCCAGCACACCUGGAUCCUCCGGAUCGGGGUGUGUCAAUAUUUGUGAAUAGUAAUCGCCCUUACCCUUCCUCUUCUCAAAUGAGUGUACUUGCACAAAUUUAAUUAUUGUUUAGAGAGAACAGUAAGGGUAAUUUCACUGUGCUUGUCCUUGACCUCCUAAAAUAGAUGGACAUGUUCUAACAUCACUCGACCUGCUUAUAUUGGUGUGUGUUCCUUUUAUUAGAGAGGUGGCACAAAUGUAGUCUAUCAAAUGUAAUCUCUCUUGCAUCAUUCUUUGUUAGAAAAUGUAGUAAAAUCUCGCUAUACCAUGACACUCUAGAUAAGGAUAACAAUGAUUUAUGUAGUAAUGUUUUAGAAGAUUUUAUGUUACCUAGUUUAGAGCUUCUUCUAUCCGGGUGUGUUGACUAUUCUCUCUGCUGAGGCAUGAUCCUUUAGAUUUCUAAUAAAUUGUUUUGCUGAUAAAAAGACGAUCUUUAUUGACAGCAGAUUCGUAAAAAUAUAUUGUCCUGGACAUUCAUACUUUGCAAUUUAGGCAAUCCAAGAUAUAAUAUAUUGGUCCAGGUUACAUUUUGAUUUGGGUGUUUUAGCCUUGAGGCAAUCCAAUUUUUUUAAUUUUUAUAAAUUAAGUUUCUUCCUGAAUUCUAAUAUACUCCAAUGUUUAGAUGAAAAGAUCCUCCAAGACUUAUAUUCACAAUUUUUACAAUUAACUUUGAAUUUGAAAAUUGGAAUGUGGUCAACAGAUUGAACUGGGACUUCAAUAGAUUGAUUUCGAUUAUUUAAGAAAUAAUUUAUUUUUUAGUAUCACUGUUCAAAAUUUUCCUUUUUAGAUUUUAUUUAUUUUUGUUUUUGGGUUUGCUAAUAAAGCUUUAAAUAUAAAAAAUUAUAUUUAAAGCUAACACAUGGCAAGCUAUGAUAUAUGUCUGCCACUACCAAUCAACUUAGGAUUGGUUUGGUAUUGCUGUGCUUUGAAAAAAAGCUGCUUCUGCUGUGCUGUGAGAAUAAGCGGCUGUAAAAUAAAGCUGUAGAGUGUUUGAUAAACUUUUUUGUAAAAAGGCUUUUGAAAAAAAAAAGCAGUAUUAUAAUGUUUGGUAAACUUUUAUGUAAAAUAGAUGUGAAAAAAACCGGUUUUUCAAAGCUGAGUUUUGCAGCUUCUUGUUUUUGGCUUGUUUUCACCCAAAACUGUGAAAAAAAAGCUGAAGCUGAAUGUUUACCAAACACAAAAAAGCUCCCAGCUUUUUUUGAUACCAGCUUUUUUCAGAAUCAUCUCAGUACCAAACCAGGCCUUAAUCUAGAGGCAAGUUAAGCUUCACACAAGUUUUUCUUGUUCUCCUCACCUUAAUAAUAAUAAUUUAAAAAAAAAGAAAAAAAAAACUAAUAUGCUCCAAUAUUGACGUAAUAUUUUUUAUCCAUAGAUUUUCCAUUAAAAGUGACUAAGUCAAAAAAUAAUUUUUGUAAUUACAUAUCUGUUAAGUAUAACUUCUUUGUAAUAAUAAAAAUAAUUUGAUCUUGCAAGUGACCUUUUACCACAGUAGUAAAAAAGAGUUAAGUCAUUGCAUGAUGGUGUGGAUUCGAAGUUCGUCGGCGGCUAAUCUAACAUCUAACCUAACAAAAUUUAUGGUUUGACAAAAAAAAAAUUUGGUCCUAAGAUCAAUAAGAUAUUUCACUGUCUUUCUUCGAGUGUGAAACUGUCAUACUAUUAUAAUUUUAAUACAUUAUAUUAAUGAGGUCUCCCAUCUAACAAUGUUAUGCGAUGCAGAAAUGAUACUAUAACCAUAUAUUUGCGUUAAUAAAGAUAAGACUCAUAUAUGUGAAUAAGUCUUAAUUUUAUUAGUGAAAUAGUACAUAAGAUGGUACGAAUAUUUAAUAACGGUAGAAUUACUCAUGUUGGCGUCAGGUUUCUAGUUCUAGAAAUUUUUUAAUAUUAGUAUCCCAGUGUAAUAAUGACACACGUAAGUAAAGAGGAAGAAGUUGAAACGGUAUAACAUGCUACUGUGAACAAGUCAACAAUAUACAGCUUCUAAAUCAUGUUGGGUCAAAUUUCUGCCACUCUCCACAUGUAACAAAUGCUUGAGUAUAGUAGUAUAAAAAGAAAAAGAAGAAAAAAAAAAAAACGAAUGUUACCCGAACUCCAUGCAUAACUGUCAUUGGAAUUAUAACUUUUUGUUAGCCGGCGUAGCUCAACCGCACCCUAUCAUUGACUGCUGAAAAGGCCACCAUAUAUUGCUUAAAAAAUAUAAAAAUUUGCUAAUUUGGUCCAUGAAUUCUUACGCAUGAAAAUUCAGUUUUUAAAUUCAUUAAAAAUUAUCAAAUUCAUCUUUAUUGUUGAUUCAAAUUAUUUUAUUCAUUUUUUCGUUAAUUUAAAUCAUGUGACUUGUAUUUGAUACAUUUUAAAAGGUAGAUUAACAUUUUUAAUGGGUUUAAGAACUUUUCCUUUUUCUACUCCAUCUCAAUGUAUAUUCUUCAUUUCUUGGCUCCAAUUAACAACUAAAUUCUCUUCCUUAACCAUAACAAUAGGCUAUGCUAUGUCAUGAACGAGAAAUAGUAUAUACUAGCAAAAAUGCCUGCGCGCUGCUGCGAAUGUUUAAAAUAUUUUGAUAAUAUGUACAUACAGAAAAUAGAAUUUAUUGAAGUUAGAUUUAUAUACCUAAGAUAGAGAUUGGCAGUGUGCAAUUCCUCACUGUUAUAAAGAUAGAGAUGCUAUGAAAGCUAUAUUCAUGUACAGAAGUUCAUAGUAUCAAAAUUGUUCAAAUACGAAAAAAAAACAUGUUCAUAUCAGAAGCUUGGCACCGCACAUCUGCUCAGUGUUUAUGAUUUUUCCUGGUCAAUCUUCUGGUCUUGCUUGUUUGGGAAUGACCAUCUUUUUCUUGGUCAUCUUGUUAUUUUUUGCUUUGUCCAGAAUUUUUCUCUUGCUAUAUAUUAAGAAUUGUAAUCAAUAAGAAUUCAAAAUAAAAAACUAAAAGUUUUCAAUCUAUUUAACCACUGAAUUGAUGGAGGAGCGAAAGAGAGAAACAAAAAAAAAGGGCCAUUAUUCAAUUAUAUGGAGAAUUACUUGAUACGUACAAAAGAUUUGAAAAUUAAACUAACAUUAAAAAAAGAAAAGAAAAAAGAGAUGAGAUGGAGUGGAAACCACAUACCAACAUCAAGCUUAAAAUUGUAGUGCUAUCUGCAAUUAGUCUUAUCAGGAGCUUCUACACUGGUUGAUGUCUCGGUCUUUUACUUAGCUGUAUGUACAUUGUAGACUUGGGUAGAUGAGAAGCAGAAGAAAAUAAAAAUAUAAGUUAAAGUUACAACUUAACUAUCUAUGUUGAUUCAUGUCCAACACAUAAUAAGAAUAAUAAGAAUAGCGAAUCAUUUUUCAUCUCGUGCACUGAUUUGUCAUUGUCACUCAAAUUCACAAAUUCAUUUACUCCAAAUUUCUUAGUUAUGACCAAGGAAAGAAUGUUUAAGCAAAAAUAUGUUUAUAUGUUUUCCCACCAAAUUACCUGUUAAACCUGUUUGUACCAUACUUGACCAAUCUCGAAACUACCGAGCACCAGUCAACGUUAUACCGUUAAGGACCCGGAAGAGUUUCCCUCCAACCAAGAGGCCAAUCACGGUGCGACACGUGUCGACAUCAGAAGCCAAUCAUAGCUCAACAUCGGAAGCCAAUCAUAACACGACACGUGUCAAUGUCAGAACAAAGCUUUUGUUGGCACCAUAAAUUGGUUUUGCUUCACACUGUCUUGAUCAAGAGUGUGUGAAGCUUUUGAGAAUUGUGGUUGCCCUCCAUUGAUGAAGCUCUUGUUGGCACCAUAAAUUGGUUUUGCUUCACACACUCUUGAUCAAGACAAUGUGAAGCAAAACCAAUUUAUGGUGCCAACAAAAGUUUCAUCAACGGAGGGCAACUACAAUUCUCAAACUCUUCACACACUCUUAAUUAAGACAGUGUGAAGCAAAAUCAAUUUAUGGUGCCAACAAAAGCUUCAUUAAUGGAGGACAACUACAAAUGCCAAAAGCUUCACACACUCUUGAUCAAGAUAGUGUGAAGCAAAAUCAAUUCAUGGUACCCAACAAAGUUUCAACUCCAAAGCUUCACCUACAAAGCUUCAACACAAAAGCUUCACCUACAAAGCUUCAACUCCAAAGCUUCACCUACAAAGCUUCAAUUCCAAAGCUUCACCUACAAAGCUUCAACUCCAAAGCUUCACCUACAAAAGCUUCAACUCAAAAGCUUCACCUACAAAAGCUUCAACUCCAAAGCUUCACCUACAAAAGCUUAAACUCUAAAGCUUCAACACAAAAACUUCACCUACAAAGCUUCAACACAAAAGCUUCACCUACAAAAGCUUCACCUACAAGGCUUCAACUCCAAAGUUUCACCUACAAAGCUUCAACUCCAAAGCUUCACCUACAAAGCUUCAACACCUAAGCUUCACCUACAAAGCUUCAACACAAAAGCUUCACCUACAAAAGCUUCAACAUAAAAGUCUCACCUACAAAAGCUUCACCUACAAAAGCUUCCACACAAAAGCUUCAUCUACAAAAGCUUCAACAUAAAAGCUUCACCUACAAAAGCAUCACACACUCUUGAUCAAGAUAGUGUGAAGCAAAAUCAAUUCAUGAUACCCAACAAAGCUUCAACCUCAAAGUUUCACGUACAAAGCUUCAACACCAAAGCUUCACCUGCAAAGCUUAAAAAAAUUAUAUACAUACAUACAUAUAUAUAUAUAUAUAUAUAUAUUUUUUUUUUUCGAAAAUUCAGAAAUAAAAAAAAAAAUCGGAAAUUCGAAAAAAAAGAAAAGAAAAUGAGGCCUUUUUCUUUAGGCCUAACAACUUUCAUAACAAAUAUAUAUGAAGGAGGAGUUUUGGGCUACCACUUAGAAAGGAAAAUGGUGAAGUUUUGUUACUUUGGAAACUUGGCUAGUAGCAAGACACCUCCUUCGUCAAAUCCCUCGACCGGAGACUUGGGGGACUCCUACCAUAUGUUACUGCAUUUUGAUACUCGGAAGUCUCAUGACCACUCAGUGACUUAGAUUUUUCAAGUCUCCAACCAAGAAGUUUUCCUCACUCGGAAAAUUAAUGGAGCACUACCUCAACCUACAUGCUUCACUCACAAAGCUUUAACAUACAAGCUUCAACAAAAGAAAAAAUUCAAAGAAAUUAGUGAAGAAGGCUUUGGUGUAUUUAACACAAUACGUUGAAAUGAAACAAAGCUUAUUUAUUGAUAUCUCUGAUAAGUUACAAAUAUGUACAUAUACAUGAAUCAAAAUAAACAAACAAGAGGGAGCCUUCACAAAGGUUGCUCAUGAGAAGUCUUAGCAGUCGGCAGAGCCCUAGAAAGAGAAGGAACCGGAGGGUGAUCAUUCGGAGCCUCAGUACUGGGCAGAACCCCAGAAGGAGGAGGUAUCAGAGGUUGAUCAUUUAGAGCUUCAUUACGCGGUACAGCCCCAGAAGAUGAAGGCAAUAAAUGCCUUUGGAACAAACCUAUAAACCUCUGAUGAUCAAGUAAAUUCUGACCAUUAGAUUCCUGCAACUGGUCAAGCUUCCUUUUCAUGUUUGUAGCAUAGUCAUGUGCGAGCCUGUUUAACUGUUUAUUCUCAUGCUUGAGCCUCUGAUCUCUUGUUUGAGACUUAUCACUUCAGCCGCCAAUGAUUCAACUUGACGGGUUCGAGCAAAUAGGCGUUGGGCCAUAUUAGACACAGAACUUGCACACUGAACACUGAGAGCCAGAGAAUCCUUAUCAGCCAACUCAUCAGACCGUUUGGAAAGUAGUCUGUUAUCUUUAGGAGUAAGAAAGUUCUUGGCCACCACCGCAGCGGACAUAUCAUUCUUCAUCACAGAGUCCCCAACGGUAAGAGGACCAGUAGGGGAUAAGAAGGAUGGACGCCAUAUGUUGUCUUGAGGAGGCAUGGCUGCCUCUUCACCAAAGUUCAAGUCAAAAUGACGAUCAGAUGGGCCAGACAUUUUCAGAAAUUAUGAAGGAGAAAUGAAGUCCAAUAAAUCUCUGAAGUACGAAAAUAAGGGGAAAAUUCCUACAAGCAAUAACUCUUUGAACGUACUUCUUGCACACAAUUGGUGCCCCUAUAAAAGAAAGGGCAACAUGGCCGUUUGUUCAAAAAUCGAAGAGGCACCAUUCUCCGGAUUUCGAGAAGCGGAUUUUUCUGAGUAAAAUAUGUCGACAAUCCCUACAUGCAACAUCAGCUUCUCGGGUACCACUGAUAACUUUGGCAAAGAUCUCUGACAAAGUUUAGACACAUAAAUUUUGAAGGUCCAGCUACCCUACCAUUACCCACAAGGGUAACGGAACAACAUCACUGCUUGAUAACUGGAAAGUCUUUAUGUGUGUCAACCUCAGUGCUCAUUGGCAUGGCAACUUGGCAAAAAUGCCCAACCUUUACUCACAUCGAGAAAACACUCAUAACAGGAUUACUUUCUCAAAAAUCGAAGAGGCACCGCUCCCCGAAUCUCGAGAGCCACGCUCCCACCAGGAUUACUUUCUUAAAAUUCGAAGAGGCACAGCUAUCUGAAUCUCGAGAGUCAGACUCCUACCAGGAUCGCUUUCUCAAAAAUCAAAGAGGCACCGUUCUCUAAAUCUGGAGAGCCAGAUCCCCAAUAGGAUUGCUUGUUCAAAAAUCGAAGAGGCAACACUCUCCAAAUCUCAAGAGCCAGAUCCCCAAUAGGAUUGCUUGUUCGAAAACCGAAGAGGCACCGUUCUCCGAACUUCAAGAGCCAGAUUUCCUUGGAUAAAAUUUGUCUGCAAUCUUCACACGUAACAUCAGCUUUCCAAAUACCACAGACCAUUUUUUCAAAGUGCUCUGACAAAGUUAAAACACGUGAAGCUUGCAGCUCCCACUACAUUGCUAUGACCAAGAAGGGUAAAUGAAUAGCAUUACUACUUGUUGUUGAGGGAACUCCUAUAUAUGUCUACCGCCACCCUCCACGAACAGGAAAACCUGCAAAAAUGCUCAACCAUUCCUCGUAUCUGAUAGGGCACUCCCAACGAAGCCUCUCGAAAUACUCAGCUUCCUUUCCCUCGAUAAUACCUCUGCAAACAAGCCACACCAGAGCAAGAGUAUCUCAUAUCAUCAGGGUUCAAAGUAAAAGUAUCCCAUAUCAUGCUUUUUCCCUAUCUUUUCCUUUGCCCUUGCUUUUACCUGCAAGACAAGGAGAAAGAAAGCAAUCAGUCGGCACCUGAAAUCAAACUUCCGAUCUAGAACUGAUUGCCCGGAACCUUUGCCUGGGUCCUCACCUAGCAUUACUCUCAAGUACUCAUCAUCAACUGUUGUCAAGGUCAUGAAUCCUUUCGGUAAAUACUUCAUAACAGUUGAUACGAUAUAGGCUCUUUACAUUGAAGCUGCCAAGCAUGGAUGAGUCGCUGAGAAGUAGUUCUCUGAAGGACCAUUCAAAUGAAAAGGUUGUGCACCACUUCUACGAUGUAAAAGAUUGAAGCAGAAGGUUCAACGAUGAGCUAGAACAGAUCACUAUAGCACGACGCCCUACCUGCAGAACCGCAUAAUCCAGACGGAAGAGUCUAAGUCAAAUCCAAGCUCGGCAUCGCUGCCUUAUCCGAAGAGCUCAAGAAACUUCAACAACCUUUCGCUGGCAACGUCGCCAAAGAGCAAAGCCUCGCCAUACCACAUCCACUACUUUGUCAACAACAAAACUAUCCCAUUUUAUCAAGGUCGAACGAACUCUUGAUUUGAUGGACUUGUUUUGACCCUCAAAUUCAUGAGUCAGCCUUAUACUCUGGAGGCAACUAGAAAACCCUCCAACCCAGUUCAAGAAUAAGCUUGUGGAAAGUUACUUCUUCAAAAGAAAAAGUUUCUCAUAUCAUCUAUUCUCCUUUUUCUUCUCUUUAUCCUUCAUGCUGCCUGCAAGAUAGGGAGAAUGAGAACAAUCAGCCAGAACUCGAAAUCAAACUUCUGAUCUAGGACUGAUUGCUUGGAGCUCUGAUUGCUUACCUUGUCUGUCACCUCUUUCGACAGAUCUCCUGGCUCGGCGACUUGGGGGACUCCUACUAAAUGGUUUGUAUCGCGCUUGACCAAGCCUAAAACUACAAGUAAGGUUCAAGUGAAAUUGAUACAUUACCUUGUGCAUCUCCACCGGUUAAAGAUACCACCCCUGGAUGGAGGAAGAGUACUUCCAGAGAAGAUGACACAUCUACCUAUGCGAUAGAUAAGGCAAGUGAAGAUGAUACCACACUUCAGUACUUAGAAGUUUUGUGAUUACUCAGCGGCUUGGAUCUUGCAAGUCCAUAACCGAGGAACUUCCCUCACUCGGGAACUUAGGGGAGUAUUGUUUGUACCAUACUUGACCAAUCCUGAAACUACAGAGCACCGACAACAUUAUACCGUCAAGGACCCAGAAGAGUUUCCCUCCAACCAGAAGGCCAAUCACAGUGCAACAUGUGUCGACAUUAGUAGCCAAUCAUAGCAUGACACGUGUAAACAUCGGAAGCCAAUCACAACACGACACGUGUCAAUGUCAGAACAAAGCUAAAAACUCUCGUCUAUAAAAGGAGAUCAUUCUCCCACAAUAUUGCCUAAUGUCAUUUGUAUUAAAUCAUUCGCUAGUACUCACUAAAGGAAGGCUUGAACCUAUGACUUGUGUAAACCCUUCACAAUUAAUGAGAACUCCUAUACUCCGUGGACGUAACCAAUCUGGGUGAACCACAUACAUCUUGUGUUUUCCUCCAUGUCUUUAUCCAUUUACAUACUUAUCCACACUAGUGACCAGAGCAAUCUAGCGAAGGUCACAAACUUAACAAUUUAUGUUGUACCAAAGUCCUCAUUGAUUUUGUGCAUCAACAAAACCAAAUCCAAACGUCAAAAAUAAAAAAUAAAUACCUUCGUCAAACCUCUUGGGCUUCAAGUCCACCGACUCCACCCCAAUACUCUGUGGCGCCUUAGAAAUUCUUCCACCUUUAGUAGCCUAGAUCAUGCAUGUAUCAGUAUAAAUACAGAAAAGAAAAUAAAUGCAAUUUAUUAGAACAAAGAAUUUGGGAUCAACAAAGUUUGUCCAAACUUACAGCGAGGCCAAUAAACAGCAACUGAGGACAAUUUUUCAUUUCGCUACAUUGAGAGGGGAACCCAAACCUAAUAUUAAAAAAACAAAAUAUUCAGUAUAAUGCAAACGAUUCAAUAUGUAGUAUCAAUUGAGGAUGCAUAAUUCAAGGCUUUAAAGCAUUGAGUACGACACCAAACUUGUUGGUAUGGCACAACUAAGGAUGCAAACUUUGUCCAACUGAGCAAAGGGCUUGAUUUUGGAAAGACGGCCAUAAUGAACAACAAUGUAUUCACUUGAAGUAAAUGUGCCUGGAAAACUCUACUCGUAGUUUACAAAUCUGUAAUUCUCAAAGCUUAAUCAUAUAAAAUCAUAUAUAUAUAUAUAUAUAUAUUAUGUAUGUUGUAGAUAUUAUUGCUGACCUUCGGCAGAAGUAGAGUUCAGUGUGAUAAACUGAGGUAUAUUUGACCUUUACCCUCAUUUCCAUGGCCUUAGGUGGAGCAACCUUCACCCUCUCCAUCACCAACAGCUUCCUGACUUCCCAUCAGUGUGAUAAACUGAGUAUUAAAUCUCUAUAAAGACAUGCAAAAUGAAGAACAAUGGACAUAGCAGGCAAAGAUGCUAAUUGGUGUUCAUAAAAAAGAUAUUUUAGUUUUAAUUACCUUGUAUUUGAGAAGAGGUUCAGAACUCUCUUCAAUUUCUUUUGGUUCUGGUUUGGCUUCAGGCCUAGCCUCCAUUGUCGCCAUCGACAGAAGACGAGCUCUUAGGAAUAGAAGUGGACAUGAAUGGAGCUUGAUAUGAUCUAAUUAUGAAAACAUAUACCAAUCAAACAUAAAAUUUAAGGUGCAUGGACGAAUUUCUCCUACGAAAUGAUCUAAAUAUGUUGAGAAGAAUAUACAUUUUUACAUAUUUUCUCGACAACCAAACAACAUAUUUUGUCACCGGUGUUUAGACAGAAACAAGUCGUCGAAAUUUGAAGACCAAAGCCCUAAUACCUUAACACAUAAGAUCGAUUCAAUUAAGUGUGAGAGAAUUUGUAGAAUUUUAUAUGUUAGUUUGAGGGUUUGAGUUUGUUUUCUUAUUUUAUGCAAAGAAAACUUCAAUCAAAUGCCAAAUAACUCACUAUCUUACCUAAUGACAAAUAAGUGAGAGAGCUUUUGGGUAAAAGGGUCAGAGAUGGUUUGAAGCUGGAAUUUGCUGAUGCUAGGGUGAGUCAAGAUGUUGUUGCAGUCUGGUUGUCAGCCGACGACCAAGAUUUCUUCAUGGGUUUUCCUUCCAAAUGGGUUUGUAGUGCGGCUAUGGUUGAGAUUUGUUGAGGAUGAAGCGGUUAGUGAGUGAGAGAGAAACUGCGAUUGUGAAAGAACGCAGAGGUGUGGAAAAUGAUGAUUAUGAAGGGAAUUGAGAGGCGAGAUUGAUCGCACUUGUUGGAAUCGAAGGCAAGAUCGUGACCGGGAUGCAGGGAAGCAUGUGAGGGGAAGUUAGGAGAGAAAAUGGAAACAAAAGGGCAAAACGGCAAUGAAAGACACGUAACGAUGAAAGACAUCUAGAACAAUCAAAGCCAAAGCAAAGAGGAUGAAAGACACGUAGAACCAAAAGGACAAAACAGUCAUAUUACUGUAGAAACUCAGCAUUAAAACGAAGAGGAAGAAAAAAAUAAAGGGCAAAUUCGUCAAAUCACUAUUAAUGAACAGUAACUGAAACUGAGUUUUAGUAUAUAUAAUUUGUAUGACGUUAGGAAAUUUGACAAAUGACCUAUACAACCAAAAAAAUACUAGAGAGCACAUAUUUAUCAAGAUUUUAAGAGACACUAGAUGCUAGUCAGUGACAGACUAAGACCUAGUGCCUAGGCGGCUAGGCGGGAGCUUAGGCAGACUAGGUGGAUUAAGUAAAUUUAUUAUAGCUCGUAUAAAUAAGUGUAUGUUUAUACUUAAAAAAUACAUAAUUGUAUUGUGAUACAUAAAUUAUAAAGUAUUAGAACAUAUUGAAAAUAUGGGGAACAAGCAUAUGAUAAAUGUUUAUCCAAGUAUUCAAUAAGUGUCUUACAAUUUAUUGAAAAAUAAAAAUAAAAUACAAAUUAAUAGUUAUCUAUUUUCUGUCUAGGUGAGAGUUGUGAUCUAGCCGGGUAUCUAGGCGGACUUAGGCGGGCGCCUAAGCAGAUCUAUGCGCCAUUUCUUAAUAUUCAAUGCCUAGAGAUUACUCGAGCUGUGAUCAGCCGCUUAGCACCUAUGCGGGGCCUAGUUGGAAAUUUUUAGAAUAGUAUACCAUUUGAUAUGAUAAGUUAUGAUAAAUAUAUAUAUAUAGAGAGAGAGAGAGAGAGAGAGAGAGAGAGAGAGAGUGAUCUAGUAUAUAGCACUAGGGGUGGAAAAAAAAUCCCGAAAAUCCCGAACCAAACCGAAAAAAUUCCAAUCCCAAACCAAAAAUUUCUCAAACCGAAUUUCCCAAAAUUUCGGUACGGGAUUCGGGGUUGGCUUCUUGAUAUUUCGGGAAUUCCAUACUGAUCCGAAAAUAUAUAAUAUUAAUUAUUAUAUAUAUUUAUACAUAUAUUAUUCUUUUAUAAUUGAUGCUAGUAGUUUCUAAUUCAUGCUUUGCAACCUGGAAUGCCAUACACCUUGCAUAUCAUUCAUGUUUUGUUUGAUAUUCAUUUGGAUUUUAUUAUUGCUGUUGCCAUGGCUGAUGAUUUUAGAAGGCUUGAUUCUUUUGUCUCUCAACAGAUUGCAAAAAGGGUUUAAUUAAUUUGAAUUUUGACUCUGAUAAAAAUAGUCAAGCAUGCCAGUGUUCGAUUAAAUGGUAGUGUGAAUGAAAUGACAUUCCUAGUUCAUGAAUGUGUUCUUAAAUUAAAUAUUUGAAGAACAAUUCAUAAUUUCAUAUUUCAAUUUGGGAUUCCCGAUUUGUCCCAAAAUCCAGAAAAAUUUCGGGAUUCCCAAAAAUUUGGUUUGUGAUUGGUCUUCAAAUUCUCGUCCCGAAAAAUUUUGGUUGCGAUUCAGGAUACUAGUUUCGGUAUGGUAUCCCAUACCGAACCACCCCUAUAUAGCACCAUAACUAAAGGACAUCCCAAUAUAGAUUCAAAAGCAAAGGACAGACUGAUUAGGGUACCAUAUAUUUUAGUGGUUUUUUUUAGAGAAGUGUUAUUGGCAUUUUAAAUCUCAUUCUACACUCCUCACAAAUGUAUUUUUCUUUCAUAAUAUAGAAAGUUUGGAGUGUAGAAUGAGAUUUUUGGAGUGCUAAUAACAAUUCCCUUAUUUUAAUUUAGGUAAAAUAUCUAAUCGUGUCAGUUUAUCAUAUAUCGUGUGUCUAGUUUUCGUUAUGUACUAUUUAUAUUCAAUUUUGAAGUAAAAGUUUAAAAUGAUUUCUAACCGCACGAUGUACGAUGAACGAACAUAAUUGAUUGAUUCUCCAGAUAUCCCCACAAAGAGGAUCCAAAGAGGAUCCUAUUCCGGUGGCACUGAUAAUUGUUUCUUUAUAAAUUUUCGCAUAUGAAGAAAUAGUUGUCGGUGCCACCAAUAUUCAACUUAAUUACAAUACUACUACCGCACACAAACUUUAACGUAAUCACGAUAUUGCCUUGUAAUUGAAAAAUGUUCGUUUUUAUUUUUGAACCAAUUGAAAAAUGUUCGUUAGGUGUUUUCCUUUUUAUCUUUAUCAAAAAGGUGUACAAAUAUGAUCGGCUAAAUAUGGUCUACCAAUUAUUUUUCUUUUCCUAGUAAAUGUGGAUGGGAUAAGACUUGCGUUCCCAAUGGGGAAUACACAUAUCCUACUUCUUUCAAAUAAAUUAUAUUCGACAUAUAAAUUUCAUAAUUUGAACCAUUCACUUUUUUAAUCUUCAUUUGAAGAUCAUUCUUAUAAAAAAUCAUCUAAAUCAGAGAUCUUUUAGUCAUCUAAAUCUAUGAAACAAAUCGACAAUAUGAGUACCAAAGAACCACUACAAGAAAAAUGAGCUUUGGGUACAAAACAAAGGGCACAAUUGAGAAUUUUGUGUCUGUUUGACCACCAAAAAGCUUAAACAGUUCCCAUUUCAUAGAGGACACCAUCUAUUGUGCCCAAUGUUAAAAAAGGAAGACACAAAAUAGUAAUGGGCACGGUUUCCGUGCCGAGUGGGGUCAGAUGACAUUUUUUUACUGAAGAUCGGCACAAAAAACAUUUUGUGUCUAUAAAAAUUAUUUGUCAGAGGCACUGUAUGUUCUCUCUCGUUUGUCUUUACCUCCUCUAGCACACCAAUAAUUAAAAUUUAUAAAAUUGUGGUAAAUAAUGGUAUGAAGCUAUUUAUUAUUGUGCAAUGUUUUAGCCUCAAAAUAAGUUAGCAAUAAUAUUGUUCAAAUUCGUUUUUCGCGAGAGCCGAAUCUCAUAUCUCUCACUUACAAGUAAAGAAGAAUACCACUACACCGUAGUAUUAAGUGGCGUGUUUUAGAUUUACAAUGGAUCAUUUCCAACUACAAUAAAUGUUUGUUAGAUUCGUAUCUUUUUUAAUUGCAUUUUAGAUUGGUAUCUUCCUGCAAGUUUGUUUUUUAUGCUUGGUGAUAUGGUUUUUGGUUUUAUAGUAAAUGUUUAUUUUUUUACUGCAUUAAAAGUCCUUCAUGCAAUGACACAUAACCAACAAUUGUGCCCUUAGGGUCGGUCUCCGUGCAAAAGCAAGUUGAUCUUCAGAUAGACAAAUAAGUGUAGAUUCCUUUUUAUGACACUAAUGAUAGAAAUUGUGUCCACUAAAUAUUAAUAAAUAAUAAAUCAGUCUACUUUUCAUUGGGUCUUCAGAUAGACAAUAUAUUUUAAUAAUUAUAAAAUCCUUUUUAUGACACUGAUGUUAUAAAUUGUGUCCAGUAAAUAUUAAUAAAUAAUAAAUCACUCUAUAGCAAAACAAUAUGUUGGCACAAUUAUGGAUUUGUGCCUGUAUUCUAGUAUAAAGCGUCCACACUCCUUUACUAAUUUGUCUAUGGAAAAUAGAAGGUCACUUCAUACACUUGUGUUUAUUUUGAAUAUGAUCAAGUUCUACAUCAUUGAGAAUGAGGGACAUGCGACGUAGCGGAGUUAGAAUUGGAACCGAAUCUCCAACAUCACAUUCGUCUAUUGCUUCAAACAUUACAACAGCAAAUUCCACAACGAAUCAUAUUUAUAAAUAUCAGUAAUCAUAUUUUUUUUAGCACAAAAAAUCGUCACUAUUUAUAUAUAUCAGUAAUCAUAUUUUUUUAUUAAUUUACAAACACAUGAAAAGAAUUUUCAUGCUCUUUGAUUUAGGAUUAUUUAAAUCAUUUAAUCUUAAAGACAUAAUGUUCGUGUCUUCCCUUAAAGUCUGGACAGUCAUAUUUAAGUAUUAGUUUUUAUCGAUCCCAUAACCCACUCGGUUUCAAAAGCAGCGUCACCCACACUCACUCAGCCUAUUCAAACUUUCCUCCCUCAGAUGCAUUCUCACCCGUCUUUCUCCAACCCCUUUUCUCUCACUACCUUCCCCAGAUCAAAUCGUGGAGGCUCUUAAGUUCCAUCAUCGCUAGAAAACCUUGGUAGGAACCCUCCGCAUACGAUCUCCACAAGAACGGAUCUCGGAGCAGCAGGGGGUUGGGAUCGGUAGAGAGUUUGGAAUCAGAAUCGGAGGAGGUAAUCACAGUUUUGGUAACUGCAAGGUCAUCGAGGGGCUGUUUCUAGGGUUGGAGUGGGAGGCAUUCGAACUUAUCUUCAUCCCAAUACACGAAGCUGGUGAAGGAAGGUUUGGGAAGAUGGAUGCAUAGUGAGUCCGAAUCGGGAAUCGGGUCUAGUAGGGAGAGAUCAGAAGGUGAGUCGAGUUGGGAGGUGGUGGUGAGGAAAAGGCAGGUGCAAGUCGGAAGAUGGAGUGAGGAGUAGUCGUCGUUGUCCUCAUUUAUUUCGUCACCGUAGCCUUCGAAUUGGGAGUCGGCGACUUGGAGGGAGGAGGGAAAGAAUGAGAGGUAAGAGAAGAGGAAGAAGAUGAUAAGUGUUUCAUCUUUAUCUCCUUUCAUUUUUAAAGUACGAUUGUAUGCUUGUAAACAUGUGUUGGUUGUUCAGGUGCCAUGGAUAUACAAUAUUAUUUCUUUUAGUAAUCGCGUGUUUUUAAGAGAAGCUGUUUUCUCUUAGGAUUUGAUGUUAUUUUGAAUUGUUUUGAUUAGUUCUGAAAGCUUUUAAAUAUCUCUGGUGUUGUAGAUCAGAUAUCCCUUCAUUUGUGGAGUUAUGCGAUCGAGGUCCUACAUGGUGUAUACAACUAGACAAUUUGUAAUCAAGUUUAAUUUUCCAUGGGUGCAAAAGUUCUUUGUAAAAGCAGACUUUAGUGUAAUUUAAUUGGCCAAUUUAAUCUCUCUUUCUAUUCUUUUUCAGCUUCGAAAAGUAAAUGAUGAACAUAAGACUGGAAUUCGAAAAACUGAACAUGAUCUUCAAGUUGCAGAGGUUUGUUGUCCGUUUAUUUGCUACCUGAAACUAUCAAUUGCUAUAUGGUAUUAAUUUUUUUGAUAUCUCAGGAAGAAAUGGUGAAGAGAAGUUUGGGAUUUCUUCGAUAUUUGAUGAUUUGAUUGGGGUAAGGAAAUGGUAAUGCUAUAAUUUUCUAAUGUCUGCUGUUGUUGGCAACGUUGUUGUUAUCACUUUAGGUUUAAUUCUUGUGUCUUUACCUCUUUUAGUGAGACUAGUCAAUUAGUAAAUUUAUCAAUUGCCUAAAGGUGGAUUCUGUUAUGGCCCCGUCUCUUAUUAAUCAUAUGCAAGCUUUUAAGCUUGAAUAACAGUAAAGCGUAUCAUGUUCUUGUUACCAUUUACAAGUACUUUAAAAUUAAGUUCACCAUACCGCCAAUAGUUAAAUCCUAUUGUGACCCAUGAUCAGGUCCAUGGAAGAUGGCUUCCACAUACAUUUGGAGUUCAUGUAGACUAUUUUUCAGGUAAAUCCUCGCAAAUUAGUUGGAUAACAAUGUCAGUCUAAUUUCAUGACAAAGUAUUUAUGUGCAAACGUACAUUGUGACUUUAUUGGAAUGCGCUUGGAAGACCAGCCUUCAAUCUGGAAAUUGAAAAGGUGUGUCUGUGAUAUUCCAAACUUUAUUCGUUAAACUUCUCCAAUAAAGAUGUUCACUUGCCAGGUGAAUAAACUGGAAUAGCCAAGUAUUCAUUUAUUUAUUUGUCCUCAGGCCUUAAAAAUGAAAGCUCGUGGUGAGGGUUGGGCUAGGAUCAUCGUCGAAAGAAUCAGGACGGUAUGUUAUCCCCAACUCUUAUUCAUAUAAUACAAAAUACAAAGUGAGACAUGAGUUGUGUUUUAUGGGAUUAAGUGGCAAAAUUUGAGUUUCAAAACUCGAGUUCUGAAGAGGAGCAUAAAGCAGCAAAAGCCUAUCUUACUAAUAAAUUCUGAAGUCAUUAGACUUAGCUUUGGUGUUUGACAUCUUCCUCUUUUCUGAACAAUUAGUGUACAGUCAACUUUUCUAUUUGAGAUAUUGAACCAAGUUGGUAACCUUUCUAAUUCUUCCUCUUUUAAUUUGAAGAACUGGAUCCCAAGGUUGAAGAAACAGUCUUUGGAAUUUAAGGCCUAUCUUGAACCAAACAUCUGAUUAGUCACAGCAAAAACUGUUGAUGUAUAUCGUUCAUCAAAGAGUUCUAUAUGACCAGUUGUUUUCAAGGCACAAAAUAUGGCAGAUCCUUACAUUCAGGUGAGCCCUUCAAGAGAACUUUUUAAAUAUAUGGAUUUGGUGGAUGGAAUUCUUUCUUAUGGCAUUUCUGUGUUAUGGCAGGAAGCUAAGAAAUAUACCGAGCCAUACAUUGAUCGGGUUGCAAUGGUGACAAAAACACAUUUAGAUAAAUUACAAGAAAGAAAAUGCCAAUGCAAUUCUCCUUGUUGCAAGCCAGGUGAGACGUAUGUACAUCUAUCCUCUCAAAACCUUGCACAUUUCUUUUCCUUUCUAAAGUUUACUUUCUCUGACCACUAUGAAAUAUGUUUGCCCUCCAACUCAUGAACUUCCCAUCCUUGGUGAAAAUGUGGCUUGGUCUGCGAUCUCUUGUAGGCCAAAAUGACAUUAUUUAGGAUAAUUAUCAACUUUUGUUGUUGUAAGUAGCAACUUACUACAAAAAGUAUCAACUUUUGUCUUGCUUAUCCACUUAUUGAUGUCCAGAAUUUCAAGGUACGGUGAUGUUCUUAUAGUGGAAAAAACUUAUAUUUCAAUUGCAUAUUGUUGGAGGUUCUAUUAUUAUGUAUUAAGAUUAUCUUGUUUUACAUUACUAUAAUCAUUAAAUUAUUGAGUUUACUAAUGUUGUUGUGUAGGAAGAUAGGGAAAAACUAUUUGAAGGAAUACUUAAACAGAAAUGGAAGAUCUUCUCUUGAUGAUCAUCUUCAUUAAUUCGUUUAUGGAGCAGCAGAGAUUCGAUGAGGUGCAAGGCUUGCUGGGGAAGAUGCAUCUGUCCAAAAAUGUCUGCUUUCAAGUUCUUUUUGCAUUAGAGAUGAAAUAUGUAACAUUACAAUAUAUGUUUGUGAGAUUGAGAAUGUAUUGUAGGCUUUCUACAUUUUAUGAAGAAAAAAACCUCAAUUUCAGUUUCAAUUUUUCAAAUUAUGAUUUUUUUUAAUAUUUAAUUCAUGCAGGCACAAUUACAUUUUUAGUGCCAACAUGACUGGAAAUGGUAGUCUGACAACUUUGUCAGAACAUAGGCACAAAACACCCUUUAUUUGUUCUGACAUCAUGAGCACAGAACUCAGCAUUGUGCCCUCUGAGCAAUGGUGACGCCCAUAGAGGGCACAUACACAAAGAUAGUAGCUGCACUGUUGCUAUUGGUCUAUGACCACAAUUGUUUGUGCUUUUUGGCCUCAAAGGGCACAAAUAAUUUAUUGUGCGCAGUGCUCAUUUUUUUUGUAGUGAACAUAAGGAAAACUAAUGUAAAAACUUCAAAACUUUGAAUCUUAACUAAAAGCCACCUAAUAACUUCAUUUAAUGAUUAUUAAAAAAAUAACUUUAUUUAAUGAUAAGAACUAAAAAUAAAAAAAAAUAAAAAAAGAAAAAAAAUAGCCAACUGAAAGCGCGUGCAAGAUUAAAAAAAAAAAAAACCGAAACCGGAGAGACUGCAAUACAGAAACUCCAAACACAAAUUAAAUUAUGCAAGAAUAUUUUGCAGCGCAAUGUUUGUACUAAUAGUUCAAAGGAGGUAAGGAAGAUAAUUGCCGCGUCUCAGCAGUGUUGAUAUACAUAUUUGUUAUCAUUUCCUAAAUUUUCUGAUGAACUGAUGGAUGUUGGUUUUAGUUAUUUGAUUGGCAGUGGUAAUUGUGAAGUGCUAUCAUCUUCUUGUGUUCAGAAAAAUCUAGAGAUCCGUCAUCGAAAGUGUCAUGCAUGUGGAACUCCGUUUGGUAUAGAAAGCUAAAAAUUGAAGAGAUUCAGAGAAAAUUUGAUGACAAUUGAAGACAAUUAGAAUAAAAGAUGUUUGAAAGGUGACAAAGUGCCGAGAAAAUUCAGGAAGAGUACAUAAAAGAAUGGUUGUUAGACUUUCUGGAGAGAUACCAUAUUUGGUUUAAGAUAUAGUCAGUGCAUGCCAACUUGUGUUCAGUUUCAAAAGUAUUGCCCGUGUUCAGUUUCAAAAAUAGUGUAGUACUCGUAUUUAGUUUUAGAGAUAAUUAGUGUUCAGUUUCUGAAAUAUUGCUUUUCUUAUUUUACUUUUUUUUUUUUUUUUUUUUUUUGGAAGAAAGGUAAAUCCAUUACCAAUACCACAUAAUUACAAUAAAGGAGCUCCAAACUACAAUAUACACACAUUCAAAAUAUGGACCACCAAAGAAGACUUUUGAGCCCAAACAAAACACCGAAACACCCAACAGCUUCCAACCAACGCCGCCAUUGGCAUGCCGCUUUCCACCCAACAGAAACCAACAUCCCAUGCAAACCUCUGAACAGCAGCCAUACACAGCCCCAAACAUGGAUGAAAAGAAGACUCCAAAAUCCAUCAGAGAGCACAUCAUCAUUCGCGACCACGCAACGAAAGAAACCCACUAGCAUUGGUGCCAUCAAAGACACCCUAAAGGAAGGAGGUGGUGUAAACACCCAAGCCGGAGCUCUACACACCUUCCGAGAGAUUAGCAAGAUCGCGUUGAAAUUGCAAGAAUUGCAAUGAGAAAAAACGGGUGACAAACCGAAAUGUUGGAUCAAUGAAUAAUGGAGCUGAUUGGAAAUGAUAUGGAGUGGAUUAGUGGAAAUCAGGUAGGUGGAAGGAAGGGGGGGGAUGAAAAAAGGGACUGGGCACAAUGAAAUCAUAUGCAGAAGGGAUUGGGGAAAAGAACGAUCGAACCAAAAGGCAAGGGAAAACAAAAGCUGUGGGAGAAGCAAAGAAAACAAAAGAAGAAAAAUGAGGAGAAGAUGACUGCCACCAACCUUAGCCAUAGCUAGGGCUGGAGACUAGAAGGAGGAUGAGGUCCUAUUGUCUUUAAUAUCUAUCAGAUAGGUCCUAUAUCAUGUUUAUGAUUUUAAUUACCAAUGAUCGACAUAAAUUUUACAACUUAAACAGCAUGAGAGGUUAAAAUAAUAAAAUUAAAAGUCAAGCAACUUACCUAAGAGGAGAUAAAGCAGAUGGUACACAGUUUCUCAAUGCUUUCCAACUAAACAUUAUAGUUCUCUCUACUGCCAACUGAAAAGAUAUAAGUUAAUAACACAAUUAGAAUUGAAACUUACAAGAGGUCAUGGUUAAAAUAGUUGGGAGAUAGAGAGAAAGAUACAACAAUUCGUGAUGUUGGUGGAAUGGAAAGAUACAUCAAUUCAUGACUUUAGACAAAUGGGUAAUUUUUGUGUAGGUUAAGUGGUUUAAGCACAAACCUAAUAUAGAUAAGUAAAUUAGAAAUAAAAUUGUGAGAAGAAUGAAUAUUGCAAAAGUAGCAGCCUCAUCUCCACAAAAGCUGCAGAAAAACAGUUUUAGCCAACCAAGAUUAAGCCUGAUUUUGAACACCCAUAACUAUACCAAAUUAUGCAAACAAACAUGAGAUUCAAAGCUGUUUUGAGUACAUUAAAAGCAUCUACAAUUUGUAAGAAACGGGGUUCUAAGUUGAAAGUUAUGCAAGAUACAAAAUAGAGCCUCGAAACCGGAAACCCAGUAUUUGCUGCUGUCUGGCAGCUUCAUGACUCAAGUUUGUACAUGGUUUUGACAUAUCAAAACUCAACGGAAUUAUGUGAAAUCAAAUGGGCUUUGAUCAUGGACAUGUUUAGUUUCAAAACACAUGAUAAUGGAUCAAAAGGAAUCCAUAAGGACAUAGAAAUCGAAAGCCAAAGUAGGCUACUUGAAACAUAGUUUUUCUUCGCAGAAAACAUAAGUUCCCUGCAACUUAGAACCCAAACUCUUCUAAUUAUAACUUCAGAAUACUUCCAUACAAUCCCAAAAUCAUGUCUAUAACUUUGAUUUCAAUCAUACUCACAAUUAACAAAAAUUGACUUUUUAAGCCAAACCCUAAAACAUGAUUUUUUGAUCAACACACCCGAUGUAUAAAAUUAAAAGUAAUAAGAAAUAUUGAUACAAAGAAGCUAUGGAAAUAAUGAAGAAAGCUGAGAAUUUUUACCCUUGUUGCAGGUCGACAAAAGGAACCAUCCUUUUGCUAUGAUUCUCUUUGCUGCUUCAAAUGUAGUCUUCUAUACUUCCCUUGACCUCUCUAAAAAAUCGGAUAUAGUUUUCUCUCCUCGUUAUCCUUCUUCUACCUCUUUUUCUUUCUUUUUCUUUUCCCUGUUCUCUUCCCCUCCUUAUUCAGGCCUCCUCAUUUUUCCACCCGCCCUCGCAUGUAGAGAUUCUCCCUUUUUCUUUAUUAUUAUUAUUAUUAUUAUUAUCCCCUUUUCCAUACAAUCAUAAAAAAAAGUCAACAUAGGUUCAAAAAUCGGACCGAACCAUUCAUACCGAUUCCAAUUUUCAUGUUAGUAGAAUUGCUUAGAACCGAAUCGGGCCAUGAAUAUAAAUAAUUAAUUAAAUUUAAUAGGUGUAUACGGGUGUCACUAAAUGAGUGGUGAAAACCAAACUGGUUUUACCUAAUAGGACUGCAUGUGAUCAUAUCUCAAAUAGGUCUUUCACUUGCACGGUUCACCUAUUGAGACAAUGCACUUAUUUGAAAAAAGGAGGUCGUUUUCUCUCCUAGAUUCCCAAAUUUAACAUUCAGGUUUCGAUUUCAUUUUUUUUAUUUUUUAUUUUGAUAGAGUGAUCUUAAGGUGUUUAGUUACAUCCUAUUUGUUUCUUUCCCUUUUCCUAGGACUUUUUUUUAAUCUCUUGAUAAGUCUCUCUUGGGCUUAAAUAUUGUAUUCAUACUAACAUUUUUACUGCAUAGUGGAUGAUUUGUAUGUGUGGAUGUACAUUUGUAUCAUGAAUGUUAUAUGACAUUUGAACUGUGUUUCUUUUUUUGUUUGCUUAGUGUCAGAAAUAUUUGCAUUUUGAUUUUGUAUUUGAAAUGAUAUGUUUUGUUUGUAACAUUGUUUAACCAUUUUAGAAGUGGUAUUUGAAUGCAAGCAUGCAAAAAACAAGAGAAUAAAAAAAAGUAAACUUUGAAUACCAUUUUGAUUUGGUAUUCAAAUGACUUAGUAUUGGGCACCGUAAACAGACAUGGACCGAACCGAAAUCAGUGUGGAUCAAACCAUAUGAUUUUAGUAACAAAUUUAAGUGGAACCACACUGAAUCAAAUCGUUAAUAUUUCUCGGUUCCGGUUCCGUUUUGAGGAUGGAACCACACUGAACCACACCAUGCUCACCCCUACCCACUUUCUCUCAUUCUCUGUCAUUGAGUCUCUCUUCUUUUUCUCAAAUGUAAUGUUAGGGAGACCAAAUUUUUUAUAUCAAAUUUGUAAACCAAAUGAUGUGGUUGUGGAUAAUUGGAUUAUUGAUUAAGUGUCCAAUGACGUGCUUGUUUCUUAUUAGUGACACAUAAUUUAUUUUACAAAUUUGAUUUAAAAUUUUGUUCUCUGUAACAUUUUCAUUCUCUGAGCCUCUCUCAAUGAGUCCGAUAAGUGAUGAGAAGGUCCCACUGUUUUACGCAUUAAUAUUACUGUGAUGAUAUGAGAAGGUCCCACUAAUUUACACAAGACAAAGAUCCGAACAGCAAGAAACAUUGGACAACAACUCUGCAAGCUGCUCUGAUAAAGAAUCAAAGCUCUUACAGGAGCAUAUAUUUUCUUCAAUUGUCCUUGACCCGCAGGUGAUCCAAGCAAGGCAUCAUGUAGGCAGCGGGGCUUGCCUGAAGUUCCAUGAAUUUCUCAUACGUCAUUCCAAUGUACUUCGCUUUUUCACCUUCCUUUUCUAGCAACUCCGGGAUCGGUACAGCGGGCGUGUCGAGUGCCGGUCCAUGUGGUACGGCGAUCGAUAUCCUAGUAGCUGUGUUGUUCACAGUUGCUCGAUGCCAUAUGCUCUUGUACUUGUCGUUUGUUAGAAUUUGCAUUUGAUCACCAACGUUAACAAUAAAAGCGCCCGGAGCGGCAUUUACCAAGACCCACUGAUCAUUGUGCUUGACUUCAAGGCCACACAUAUCAUUCUGAAUCAGGAGCGUCACCAGUCCAUGAUCUGUAUGAGGAGGAAUACCGAUUGCCAGGUCGGGCUGUGGGCAAGCCGGGUAGUAGUUUGCUGCCAGAAUUUGGCAGCCCCGAUCCCAGUUCAUGGCCUUGGUAAUGUAAUCGGCCUCCAGUCCCAAACUCUCCGAUAUUCCAUUCAAUAUUUCGGUUGCCACUGCACGGGUUCUUUUGCUGAACUCCAAUGAAACUUCACUGUACCCAGCAG
rnacentral:lncRNA from 1 species